AAAAAAAAAAAAAAAAACUUAAUUGGUAGGGAUAUUGCAUAUUAUAUGCAUGUGUCAGGGUUCAAACUCCAAACAUUUAACCAUAUUUAAAAUGUGUGAGCUCUAAUCACUUGAUUACUUGACCCAAUAAAAAAAGGUAUAUCUCCUCUGCUGAAAGGUGAUCACUUUGGAAUCCUCUCUUUUGCUUUAUUGUUUUCUUUUCUUUAUAUCAAUUAUUUUGCCAGAUGUGUGUCCAUUAACCAUUGGUGUGCUUUUUUCUGUAGUUUGUCAAUGCUUUUCUCAAUACUUUAGUUAUUCAUUCACAACAUAACCGUGUAUUUUUAUUAAGCCUUAUCUCUUUACCAUUCACAACAUAGUUCUAAAAUUCAUUCAAGAUUUAGUUACAACUUCAUUCCUUGCUGCUUUUACUUUAACAAUAGAAGAUGGCUGCAACUUUGGUGGGAGGGGCUUUUCUCUCUGCUACUGUUCAGACUUUAGUUGAGAAACUUGCUUCACAAGAGUUUUGUGAUUACAUCAGAAACACCAAGCUGAAUUCCUCACUGUUGGCAGAGUUGGAAACAACACUGCUCGCUCUUCAGGCGGUUCUUGAUGAUGCAGAACAGAAGCAAAUCACCAACACUGCUGUCAAACAAUGGAUGGAUCAACUGAAAGAUGCAAUCUAUGAUGCUGAGGAUUUGCUUAACCAAAUCAAUUACGACUCCCUCCGAUGUAAGGUGGAGAAGAUACAAUCUGAAAACAUGACUAAUCAGGUUUGGAACCUCUUUUCAUGUCCUUUUAAAAAUCUCUAUGGAGAGAUCAAUUCACAAAUGAAGAUUAUGUGUCAAAGGCUGCAACUUUUUGCACAACAGAGAGAUAUCCUUGGCUUGCAAACUGUGAGCGGGAGAGUUUCUCUAAGAACGCCUUCAAGUUCAAUGGUAAAUGAAUCUGUUAUGGUUGGAAGGAAGGAUGAUAAAGAGAGACUCAUUAGUAUGUUGAUAUCUGACAGUGGCACUACCAAUAGUAGUAUUGGUGUGGUUGCAAUUUUGGGUAUGGGCGGUGUUGGCAAAACCACUCUUGCCCAACUUCUUUAUAAUGAUAAAGAAGUUCAAGACCAUUUUGAUCUGAAAGUCUGGGUUUGUGUAUCGGAGGAUUUCGAUAUUCUGAGAGUAACUAAAACCAUUCAUGAAUCUGUCACUUCAAGAGGUGGUGAAAACAAUAAUCUUGAUUUUCUUCGAGUUGAAUUGAAUCAAAACUUGAGGGAUAAAAGAUUUUUGUUAGUGCUGGACGAUCUGUGGAAUGAUAGUUAUAAUGAUUGGGAUGAGUUAGUAACUCCAUUGAUUAACGGCAAAACGGGAAGUAUGGUGAUCAUCACAACACGCCAACAAAAAGUUGCGGAGGUUGCACACACGUUUCCUAUUCACAAAGUAGAUCCUCUAUCAGAUGAUGACUGUUGGUCGUUACUUUCAAAGCAUGCAUUCGGAAGUGAAGACCGUCGAGGUAGAAAGUACCCAAAUCUAGAAGAAAUUGGUAGAAAGAUUGCCAAAAAGUGUGGUGGAUUGCCCAUAGCUCCUAAAACACUCGGAGGAAUUUUGCGUUCAAAGGUAGAUGCAAAAGAGUGGACUGCAAUUCUAAAUAGUGACAUAUGGAACUUACCAAAUGAUAAUAUUUUACCUGCUUUGCGUCUAAGUUAUCAAUAUCUUCCCUCACAUUUGAAAAGAUGUUUUGCCUAUUGCUCAAUUUUUCCGAAGGAUUUUCCACUGGACAAGAAGGAAUUGAUUUUGUUAUGGAUGGCAGAAGGCUUCCUAGAGCAUUCUCAACGUAAUAAAACAGCUGAGGAAGUAGGCCAUGACUACUUUAUUGAAUUGUUAUCCAGGUGCUUAAUUCAACAAUCAAAUGAUGAUGGAAAAGAAAAAUUUGUUAUGCAUGACCUUGUCAAUGAUUUAGCCUUAGUGGUGUCAGGAACAAGUUGCUUCAGGCUUGAAUGUGGUGGUAACAUGUCUAAAAAUGUACGUCAUUUGUCAUAUAAUCAAGGAUAUUACGACUUUUUCAAGAAGUUUGAGGUUCUCUACGAUUUCAAAUGGUUGCGGAGCUUUCUACCCGUUAACCUUAGUAUCGUGAAGGGAUCAUAUUGCUUAUCUAGUAAGGUUGUUGAAGAUUUAAUACCCAAACUCAAACGGUUACGUGUGCUAUCCUUAAAAAAUUAUCAAAACAUCAACCUGCUGCCAGAAUCAGUAGGUAGUUUGGUGGAGUUGAGGUAUUUAGAUCUCUCAUUCACUGGAAUUAAAAGCUUACCUAAUGCAACAUGCAAUCUUUACAAUCUGCAAACCUUGAAUUUAACACGGUGUGAAAACCUCACUGAGUUGCCACCAAAUUUUGGAAAGUUAAUUAACUUACGGCACCUUGAUAUCAGCGGGACAUGCAUAAAGGAGAUGCCAACGCAAAUUCUUGGACUCAAUAACCUGCAAACAUUAACUGUUUUUUCAGUUGGCAAGCAAGACACCGGGUUAAGUUUGAAAGAGGUUGGUAAGUUUCCUAACCUACGGGGAAAGCUUUGUAUCAAGAACCUGCAGAAUGUCAUCGAUGCCAUUGAGGCUUAUGAUGUCAACAUGAGAAACAAAGAUAUUGAGGAAUUAGAGUUACAAUGGAGCAAACAAACGGAAGACUCGCGAAUAGAGAAAGAUGUGCUUGAUAUGUUGCAACCAUCAUUUAACCUGAGGAAACUGAGCAUUAGCUUGUAUGGUGGGACAAGCUUUCCGAGUUGGUUGGGUGAUCCUUUUUUUUCUAACAUGGUGUCCUUGUGUAUCUCGAAUUGUGAAUAUUGUGUAACACUUCCAUCACUAGGUCAACUACCUUCUCUCAAGGACUUGACUAUUGAGGGUAUGACAAUGGAAACAAUUGGGCUAGAGUUCUAUGGCAUGACAGUAGAACCUUCCACUUCUUCAUUCAAACCAUUUCAGUAUCUCGAGUCUUUAAAAUUCUUUAGCAUGCCGAAUUGGAAGGAAUGGAUACACUAUGAAAGUGGUGAAUUUGGUUUUCCUCGCCUUAGAACUUUGCGCUUAAGCCAAUGUCCUAAACUAAGGGGGAAUUUGCCUAGCAGUCUUCCUUCAAUAGAUAAAAUCAAUAUAACUGGUUGUGACCGUCUCUUGACAACACCACCAACUACUUUGCAUUGGCUCUCCUCAUUAAACAAAAUAGGUAUAAAAGAGUCUACAGGAAGUUCCCAAUUGUUGUUACUUGAAAUUGAAUCUCCCUGUUUGCUACAAAGUGUAAAAAUCAUGUAUUGUGCUACCCUGUUUUCGUUACCCAAAAUUAUUUGGAGCAGCAUUUGUCUUCGAUUCUUGGAACUUUGUGAUCUUCCAUCUCUCGCUGCUUUUCCAACAGAUGAUCUACCCACUUCAUUGCAGUCACUUAGAAUUUCUCAUUGUCCGAAUUUAGCAUUCCUGCCACUUGAAACAUGGGGCAAUUACACAUCUCUUGUGGCUUUGCACUUAUUGAAUAGUUGUUAUGCACUUACCUCAUUCCCUUUGGAUGGUUUCCCAGCCCUCCAAGGUCUUUACAUUGAUGGCUGUAAAAAUCUGGAAUCCAUUUUUAUUUCAGAAAGUUCUUCCCAUCUCCCGUCAACCCUCCAAUCAUUUAGGGUAGAUAAUUGUGAUGCACUUAGAUCAUUGACUCUACCAAUAGACACCCUGAUCUCUCUUGAACGUUUGUCUCUCGAAAAUCUUCCAGAACUAACUUUACCAUUUUGUAAAGGAACUUGCCUACCUCCCAAAAUACGAAGUAUUUAUAUUGAAUCAGUGAGAAUAGCAACGCCUGUAGCUGAAUGGGGUCUCCAACAUCUUACUUCUCUUUCAAGUUUGUAUAUGGGAGGUUACGAUGAUAUUGUUAACACCUUGCUGAAGGAGCGGUUGCUGCCAAUUUCACUUGUGUCUUUGUAUAUUUCUAAUCUCUGUGAAAUAAAAUCCAUUGAUGGAAAUGGACUCCGACACCUAUCCUCUCUUGAAACACUUUGUUUUUAUAAUUGUCCAAGGCUUGAGUCUCUUUCAAAAGACACUUUUCCAUCCUCUCUUAAGAUACUGCGCAUCAUUGAAUGUCCUCUGUUAGAAGCAAACUAUAAAAGUCAGAGGUGGGAACAUUUGUCCAUCCCAGUCUUGGAAAUAAAUAACGAAGUGAUAAUAUGAGGGAACGGACAGAAAAUUUGUAAUCCUGUUUCAGGUAUGAUUCUCUUUUAUGCAUCUAUCCAUGAAGAAUUGUUCAAUUUUUUCUGUGUAAUAAAAUAGUCAAGUUCAUUUAUAAUAACCUACAAACUGUGGUAAAACACCAUUUCUUGAGAUUUUUAAGUUAAUGGAUCUAAGACGUUGUUACGCAAUUUUCUCAACAACUAAAAGAAAACUAAAAGGUCUACUGCAUAAGUAGAAGUAGAUGAAAAUAAGAAUCCAGAUUGAUUCUUGGUUCAAUGUAAUGCCAACUUGUUCCAGUAAAAUAUAUCUAUAUCCUAAGGUAAUAACUUCAAUGUCUGUUUUAUGCAACAUGCACCUCAAUGAGAUUUGAUGUUCCUUGAGACAUAUCUUUGUUGAAAUAAAACUAAAGAACAGUUAACAGAUAUUUUAUACAUUUACAUGGAUAAAUAAAUACAAUUACAAUUGCAAUUUACAACUUUAUCUUUGUGACAAGAACAAAUAAUUCUUUCUUAUAAUCCUAUUGAAAACCAGUUUAAAUUUUUAAAAUCAUAUUCUUGAUCCUAGUUGAGAUUAAACUUAUAAUGUUUUCGAAGCCAUCGCUAAUUUUUAUUCUUUUGUUGUUAAUAGGUUUGUCAUCGGUAAGGCGUGCAAAGUCCAUACACAGAGAUUUGGUUAUAAGAACAAGAGUUGCUGGCAACAUAAAUGUAUGUCACAAAGCUUCAGUUUGUAUUUACUUAUCUAUUUUGAUUUUUUUUCUCUCCAUAUUUUGAUUAGUUUUCUUUUAAUGAAGAAGCUAAAUUAGAUUACCGAAAUUGGCAUCGGGGAGAAUCGAACCUCGGACCUUGAGGAGGAACGCACUCCAAGGUCCUAAGUCAACAUCACCCGUCAAUCCAAGUGGGUUAUAUUUUUCUUAGUUUAUCUGUGUAUUUUUGUUCAGUACAGUUUUUAUAGAUUUAAUUCAUAAGCACUAACUGUGACAAUAUUUACCUUAUUAAUCAAUCAUAACUAUUUGAUGAUUAAACAAAUUUUACUUUCAUCUGAAGUGCAUAUGAUUAGUUGGUAUUUGGUUAGCCUUUUGUUGAAAGCAUAUAACUUAAAAGUUGUGAAGCACCGAUACAAACACGGACACGUCGACAUUGUGUCGCUGCUACAGAGCUUAAAAGUCCUUAAUGUACAAAUUACAAUAAAGCAGUACGUAGAAAUUCAGUUUCACAAUCUGACAUAAGUUUUUGCUGUAAAUAAAUUUUAAUUAUGAAGUGAUGAACUUUCUUACUUCGCGCAGGUAAUUCAUGAUGUCGGUGGAUACUUUCUCGCAGAAACUGUCAAAAUACCGUUUUCAUCAAUUGAGAAACGUUUGCUGAUAGGAUGGCAACGAAGGAAAGUCUCAGGAAAGGGCUUACUAUCUCUGCUUGAAGACCUACUAGACAGCAUGAAUCAAACAAUUUUUAGGGAAUUAGAUUUCUCACAUAAGUUUAAUUUUUCUCACAUAAGUCCAGAAAUGAGAAGCCAUCUACAAAUGUAAAUCAACAUUGUCUAAUUUUUCUCUUUGUAGAUUGUAUUGAAGAAACCAUAGAGUUAUUUUUGAAUCAGAAGUCAGUAUUGUAUAUAUUAAUCAUUUCUCUCUAAAAAUAACAAUUUUUUUUUUUUUUUGGUACAAAAAAAUAACAAAUUUAAUAACUAUUACAAAGGAAAUGUUAUGACUUAUAAUUUAACCAAUAUCCCUCUUUUGUAUAAACAAUAAAUAAAUUAUCCAAUCCUACAAACAUGGCCUAGUUUUAAUAUCUCAGAAAUAACAUGAAUGACAGAUCGAAUUAACAUGAAUAACUCAGAAAAAAAAUUAAUUAUCCAAUCCUUCAAACCUGGCCUAACUUUUAAUAAGUCAGAAAUAACAUGAAUAACUCAAGAGAUAAAUAAAUUAUCCAAUUGAAUUAUUUCAACAGAUAUCCGUAAACAUGCACUCCAAGUGCAUUGCAAUUUUCCAUCAUUUUGGUCCUCACAUUUUCCAUUAGUUUCAAAGUGUUAUUUCUGCUUUCAAAGUGUUUGAUAAGUUUCAUCAUCUUGUGUUUGUAUGAGGUAAAUGGAAAAUUUUGAAGAAUUUAGAAUUUUAGCCAAUUUAAAUGAUUCAAUUAAAUUUCUGUUAUUUUUAAAUAUUUUUGUUUCGAUGGAGUAAUUGUCAUAAUUUUUGGGUAACUUUUAUAAAUUUUAAUUUAUUUUGGCCAAAUUUGGAAAUUUAAAUUAGCGAUCAAGUUGUAAUUUUCUAAAAUUUUGAGGGGUCAAUUUAUAAUUUUUGAACAUUUUUAGGGAAAAUUUGUAAUUUCAAAAAAAAUAUAUAGGGGUCAGUUUGAAAAUUUUGGAAAAUGUGUGAACCAAAAUGAAAAAUUUGAACAACUAUAAUAAUGAAAAAAUUUAUCAUCCAAACAAUAGAAUCCACCUAAAAGUCUUUGAAUUCCCUCAAAACAUUACAUGUGUCAGCUUAGUGGUAAAGACUUGAAUUUGUAACUUCAAGAGACAUUGUUCAAAUCGCACAUGAAACAGUUGUAAAAUGAUCAUUAGUUCCACAAUUAUUAAUAAUAGAUUUUAAGGAAUAAAUUCUACAAAAAUUCAAUUAUUUUAUAAUAAUGCAUUUUUGUUUAUAAACAAAACAUUUUACUCGUUGAUAUUUGUAAAUAUAUGUAAAUACAUUAAUAUCCACUAAUACUCGUGUAGCGGAUAUUCACACGAAUGUAAGAAUGAUCUAAAUAUCAGUUUUAUCAACUAACUACUAUGUAUAUCAUGUGGACAUCGAUUAUCAUCCCUAUUAAUAGUAUAGUAGCAACAACAAUAAAAUUAUUAUUAUAUUAUUAUAUAAUAAUGAUAAAGUCACACUUCUAUUAAAAAGAAAUAAUCUCAAAAUAUAAAGAGCGAAAAAAUUUGAUAAAGUCCAAAGAAUAAUACAAAUGUCACGAUAAUUGAUUCAAAAUUGAUAAAUGUUUACUAGACAUUCAAAAUAGUUGCAACAAUUUUUUGUCAAUAUAUAAAGAAAGUAACAUUUAAGAAGAACAAAUAAAAGAAACAUUGAUAAAUUUAUUCUUUUUAUGGUAUUGCUUGACAAAUGAAAAUGUUCAACAUCAUUCCUUUUUUUCUUAUAAGCCACAAAACAUAGAAAAAUAAAAUUAAAACAUACUAUUAAAUAAAUGAGUACUUUUCACUUUUUAUUCUAAGUAGAAAAAUGAAAUACCCAUUCAAAAAAUAAACAAUAAUAAUAUUGAAGAAAAAAAACAUAAGAAAAAAUAUAUUGAGAGGAGAAUAGUCAAAGAUAAAUAAUAUAAAUUAAGAAAUAAAACCCUAAUAAAUAAAAUGGUUGAAAAGUGUGUUAGAACAACAAUGGUUCAUACAAGUCCUCUAAGGUUUUGAUGAUAAAAAAGUAUUGAAGAACAAUUGGAAUACUAACAUACGUUCAAGUGUGUAAAAUCUAUCUAUCAUGAAGAAAUAACAUAUGAAGAGCAUAAGAAGGAACCGGAGAAGCCUAGAAGACUAUGAUGGAAGAUCUAAAGGAAAGUCAACCAAAAGUCAACAUCAUUAGAAGAAAGAUGUCUCAAAGAAGCUGAAGAGUGACCUCAAGAGAUUUCGUGAAGGCCAUCAGACGCAUAAUAUGUCUGGCAUACUUGGAUCUGAGGGACCCGAAAUGCACGUAAAUUUUUGUCUAAUACUGUGAGCUGUCUAUACCGUAGUAUUUGAUAGAGGAGUUCUUUUGUCUUCUUCUGUCUACGUGUGCAACUAGACAAAUGACCUCAAGAACAAAGAGAAUACAACACAUAAUUCAUCUUUCAGGAAAGGAAAUUCAAAGGAUUUUCCAACGGAAUUAUCCAUAUCAGGCAAAGAGUCAACUUUCUUGAUCAAAGUUAUCCAACGACUCUAUUUGCAUUGCAACUCUUUUCCAAUGUCUCUCAAAUCACUGCCUAUAAAAGGAGUUGAAGACCUGAAGCAGAAAUAACAAGACUAUGUUAUUUUUAUAUGCCAAAUCUCCGUCAAAUCAAAUAGCGCAAAACACUUAGAAUUUUAGCUUUCAAGUUUAUAUCUUAGAAAUCCUAAGGAGUCUGUUCAUUUGUUCAGUUCACUACCAUUGUUAAAUCUAGUGUAAGAAAAAAGUAACUUGUUUGCAGUUGUGCAAACAUUUAAGAAAGUCUCUCGCCUGCGUGCUUGAGCAUAUAAGUCUCUUGGUAAAACCUUGAGUACCCAGAGAGUCUAUUGGAGUUGUCAUUGAGCAAGGGAAAGUCUUAAGCAGUUGCGCUUAAGCAAAUGUAAGUCUCUUGGAGUUAUCCUUGAGCAGGAAGUUUUUAGGUAGAGUCCUAGAGCAUAUAAGUCUCUUGCAGUUGUGCUUGAGAAAAGAGAAGUCUCUUGGUAGUGUCCUUAAGCUAAUUGUAAUCCAUAGUGGUUAUUGUGAAAUCUCUUGCAAGUGCAAGGGGACUGGACUACUCCUUAUGUCUGUCUUCUCUCUCUGACUCUCUAUCUUUAUGUUCUAUAUUUCUGCUGCAUUCUGUAACACCCCGUUUAUCCAACUUGAUAUUUUUUUGCAUAAAAUCAGAGUAAUCAACUAAAGAGGAUGCUAAACUACAUUAAAAUAUAAAUAGAAAAAAUUACUAUUUAUUCAAAACAUCUCAUGUUAUCAAUUCAAAUCUCUUUGCAGCGGAAAACUUUAAUUAAACAACGUAAUGGCACAACGGCCCCAACAUAAACAACUUAUUAGAAUUCAAUCUAGGUGAUUCAUCAACAUAAAAUCAUAGCAAUUACGUAACACAUGGAAAACAAGUAAGAUCCCCAUCCCGUUACGUAUCAAAGCGACCCUUAGACGACUUGUGAGAGAGUCAACUCACUUCAACAACUAUCCUUGGUUAUCUGCAAGUUACCCACGUAGAUGCAACAUUCAAACAGAAGGGGUGAGAUUUCACAUUCAAUAAUAAUAAGAAUAUAAUUCAUCAAUAGAAUUUAACAACAUAGACAACAUCAAUUAAUAAUAUUAACUCUUCAUAUAGUUCUUCAUUAACAACUCAUUGCUAAUUGACAACUUAGCAACAACGACAAAGCGACAACAACGACAUUAACUGGACAAUGCAACUACAAUAACUUAAUCAUCUCGACAAUGCAACUACAACAACUUAGCGACUUUAACUCGACAAUGCAACUUACAACUUAGCAACUUUGACCAACACUUGCAACUUAAUGAUAUUAAUAAUCAACAACAGCAAAGAUAGCAACAUCAACAACUUGCAACAUACAACAACUGAUAAUAACAACUUGAAUGAUAUGAACAACAAUAUUUUCUAUAUCAUACAUUUUUCACAUAAUAUAUGUAGCUCAAAUUAACCAACAACAAUAAUCAUAUUAAUUUAGACUCACUGAAAGGCUAUACCUUUAUAAACAACUUUCAUUCCUAUCCCAAGGACCAACUCAUAACAUUACGUGCGACAAAGAUCGCAAGAACACUAAGUAAGGCUGACUGCCACUGAGUGAUGAACACUAUUUUGUGAAAAUUGUUCAUAUUUGACUUUUAAUCAUGAAUUGAUAAAAGUUGCUUGCUGAAAGUUUAAUUAAAAGCACAAAACACAAGAAAUGAACUAAAAAUAUUGUUAAUGAAAGGGUGUGCCAACAAGAAACGAAAAUUAUGUAUUGGGAUUAAUUUUGACAAUGAUUUGGAGUUGAAAAAUGAGAAUUUGGUUUUUUGAAUUGGUGUUUAGGCUGAUCUGUGGUUUCAAACAAGAAAUGGAAUGGAGAGUUUAGGGACGCCACACUUUCUAAUCCUAGAAAAUGAUAAGUCUAUGGAAUGAAGAUCACCACAAGAAAGGAUUCUUGAUAUGAUCAAUACAAGGUCCAAUCCAGAACCUAAAGAGCAAUUACUCACUUUUUUUUAACGAAAAUUAACUUGUCUUUUAUUCAAUUUUCGUGUCCUAUAUAUAGGUAGGAGGGACACUUGCUGAAUUACAAAGAAAAAUGCAAAUAGCUCUUAGGAUUCCUUCAGCCAAAUUAAUCUAUCAUUAUUUCCUAUGGCUGAAGUAAAUUAACAUGAAUACAAGAAAUGGUUACAAGACAAAUCAAUGAAUGAGGGUGGCUGGUCUUGAUGAUCAUGAUGAUGGACGUGAAUUUGAUGAUGAUGGUGGUUUCAUAUGCUGAAAUGAAAUGCCUUCAUUGUCUCAUUGAAGUCUUGUCCCUUUCCUCUUCAAUUCUUGCAUUCUUUCAUCCUUCAGAUUAAAUGCUCGUUAAUGCCUUGUUUUUCUUUUGUCUUCAGCACUCCUUUGCACGAAAUAAACACACAAAACAUUCCAUUCAAAGCUUUGGAAGCUUCGAAAUGGAUUAAACACACAAAAUAACCAUACUUAGUGUUUUUGGACCAAAAUUGGUCUCUUACACUUUUUAUUAUAACAUAACAAGAACAACUAAAUAAAAUGGGCAGCAAGAGAUGCGCCCCACCCCUCCUCCAAUGGUUUGAUGCACAUGACCAUUUUAUCCUCCAUGCUUUCUAGUGUAGGUUUGGACUCCAAGACUUUUGCCACCAAUUGAGUUAGGGCCUCCUUAGCUUUCUUGGUUCUCGACCUUGUCAUUGGUCCUCCUAGCCCUUGAAUUGAAGCACUUGUGUCAUGGACAACCAUGCCCUCAUCAUCCCCUCCCUCUUGAAAGGAAUUCGUCCACGAAUUGAAAUCACUAUUACCUACAUCAAAAGGAGCUAAGUCAGCAACAUUAAAAGUAGCACUUAUAUCAUACUCACCGGGUAACUCAAGCUUGUAUGCAUUGUCAUUGAUCCUUUCUAGCACUUGAAAUGGUCCGUCACCCCUUGGUUGAAGUUUUGACUUCCUUUGUUUAGGAAACCUUUCUUUCCUCAUAUGCACCCAAACCCAAUCACCGGGUUCAAAAAUCACCCUCUUCCUUCCUUUGUUUGCAUUUUUAGCAUACCCUUCAUUUUUCUUUUCAAUUUGCAACUUCACUUGCUCAUGCAUUUUCUUCACAAACUCAGCUUUGUCUUUUCCAUCUUUAUGCUUCAAAAAAGAACUGUUAGGCAUAGGUAACAAAUCAAGUGGAGUUAGUGGGUUAAAACCAUAAACAACUUCAAAUGGUGACAUUUUUGUAGUACUAUGAACCACACGAUUGUAAGCAAAUUCCACGUGGGGUAAACAUUCUUUCCACAUUCUCAAAUUUCUUGUAAGAACACUUCUAAGAAGAGUAGAGAGAGUUCUAUUUACUACCUCAGUUUGACCAUCUGUUUGAGGGUGACAAGUUGUUGAGAAUAGUAACUUUGUUCCAAUCUUACCCCACAAGGUCCUCCAAAAGUGACUUAAAAAUUUUGUGUCACGAUCUGAAACUAUGCUCCUUGGAACUCCAUGAAUGCGCACAAUCUCCUUGAAAAACAAAUCAGCCACAUGGCGUGCAUCAUCUACCUUUUUGCAUGCAAUAAAAUGUGCCAUCUUGGAAAACCUAUCAACAACAACAAAAAUAGAAUCUUUCCCAUUCUUUGUUCUAGGUAAACCCAAAACAAAAUCCAUGGAAAUGUCAACCCAAGGAAAUUCAGGAGUUGGUAACGGUGUAUAAAGACCAUGAGGCAAAACUUUUGAUUUGGCCUUUUUACACACUAUGCAUCUUUCACACAACUUUUGGACAUCAAUUUUCAUAUGUGGCCAAUAAAAAUGCUCUUGCAGCAACUCUAAAGUUUUAACAACCCCAAAGUGUCCCAUUAAUCCCCCCUCAUGCGCCUCUUUUAAAAGCAAAGUUCUUAUGGAACAUUUUGGCACACAUAAUCUUUUUUCUUUAAACAAAUAACCAUUGUGCCUAAAAUAUCCAUUAAUGGCAGCAUGUUCACAAGCUAAAAAUUUUGAUGAAAAAUCAAUAUCACUUUCAUAUAAACUCUUAAUUUGUUCAAGUCCAAAAACUUUAGUUUCAAGAGUGGAGAGUAAGGCAUACCUUCUUGAAAGUGCAUCUGCAACCACAUUAGCUUUACCUCUUUUGUGUUUGAUCACAUAUGGGAAUUGUUCAAGAAACUCAACCCACUUGGCAUGUCUCUUGUUCAACUUACCUUGCCCUUUUAAAUGUUUCAAAGAUUCAUGGUCACUAUGAAUGACAAAUUCUUUGGGCAGUAGGUAAUGUUGCCAAGUUUGCAAUGAUCUAAACAAAGCAUACAAUUCCUUAUCAUAAGUGGAGUAAUUAAGGGAAGCACCCUUCAACUUUUCACUAAAAUAAGCAAUUGGAUGUCCUUCUUGCAUCAAAACAGCCCCAAUUCCAACAUUAGAAGCAUCACAUUCAAUUUCAAAAGAUUUGAAAAAAUUUGGUAAUGCUAAAAUUGGUGCUUUGGUGAGUUUUUCUUUAAGUGCAGCAAAAGCUUGCUCUUGUUUCUCACCCCAUUUAAAAACAUUUUUCUUAACAAUCUCAUUUAGAGGUGCAGCAAUGGUGCUAAAAUCUUUGACAAACCUCCUAUAGAAACUUGCUAAACCAUGGAAAAUUCUUACCUCACUUACAUUUUUGGGUGGUGGCCAAUCCUUGAUUGCUCUUACCUUUUCUUCAUCCACAUGGAUUCCCUUGGAGCUUACAACAAAACCUAAAAAAAUUACAUGAUCCGUGCAAAAGACACAUUUUUCCAAAUUUGCAAACAAAUGUUCUUUUCUUAAAACUUCUAAAACAGCCCUUAAAUGACCACAAUGUUCCUAGAAAUUUUUGCUAUAUAUCAAGAUAUCAUCAAAAUACACAACAACAAAUUUUCCCAAAAAUUCCCUCAAGACAUGGUUCAUGAGUCUCAUAAAAGUACUUGGCGCAUUAGUUAAACCAAACGGCAUAACCAUCCACUCAUACAAACCAUAUUUUGUUUUAAAAGCAGUUUUCCAUUCAUCCCCCUCCCUAAUUCUUAUUUGGUGAUAGCCACUUUUCAAAUCAAUUUUAGAAAAUAAACAUGCACCAAACAAUUCAUCAAGUAAGUCAUCUAGCCUAGGGAUUGGAUGUCUAUACUUAAUGGUAAUAUUGUUAACAGCUCUACAAUCAGUGCACAUUCUCCAACUACCAUAUUUUUUUGGAACUAAAAUAACAGGGACAGCACAAGGACUUAAACUUUCUCUUACCCAUCCUUUACUUACCAAUUCAGCAACUUGACUUUGAAUUUCUUGUGUUUGUUGGGGAUUGCUUCGGUAGGCUGGACGAUUUGGUAAAGAUGCUUCUGGAAUGAGGUCAAUGUGAUGUUCAAUACCUCUUAAAGGUGGCAGCCCAUUUGGUAUCUCUUUAGGGAACAAAGCCUCAAACUCCUGCAAAAGCGAUUCAACACAACUUGGAAAUUUUUGAGUGUUAGAAUUGUUAGUAAACAAAACCACCUCUUUGCAAAAUAGCAAAUAUAGGGGCUGCUUGGUGACAAUGGCAUUUUUUAUUUCUUCUUUUUUUGCCAUGAAACUUUCUUUCUUUUCUUUUUCUGUUUCUUUUUCUUUUCUUUCUUUUUCUUUUUCUUGCGCAUAUUUUUCUUUCAUUUUCUUUUGAUCUUCUCUUACAUCAUUAGGACUCAAUGGUGCAAGAAUAAUUUUUUUCCCAAAGUGCAUAAAAGAAUACUUAUUACUUCGGCCAUCAUGUUGCACUCCUCUAUCAAAUUGCCAUGGUCUUCCUAGCAACAAAUGACAAGCCUCCAUUGGUACUACAUCACACACAACAACAUCUUCAUACUUCCCAAUUUUAAAACAAACCUCUACUUGUUUGUCAACAAGCAUUUCUACACUUUCACUAAGCCAUUGAAGUUUGUAAGGCCUAGGGUGAGGUCUUGUUUCUAAUUCUAAUUUACCCACCAUGUGUGCACUAGCAACAUUAGUACAACUACCUCCAUCAAUAAUUAGAGAACAUACCUUUCCUUGCACUAAGCAUCUUGUAUGGAAAAGACUUUCCCUUUGAUUUGAUUCUUCCUCCUUAGCUUGGUUUCCCAACAUCCUCCUAAUCAUGAGAAAUUCACCAUUUUCACCAUCCUCCUCUUCUUCCCCUCCUUCAUCAUUCACGACAUAAUCCUCCUCCUCAAGGUCCUCAUUCUCUUCAAUUAACAUAGUUCUCUUUGUUGGACAUUGAGAAGCUAUGUGUCCUUUACCUUGGCACUUGAAACACGUAACAAUCUUGUUAGUAGAAACAUUUUGGGAUGAAGUAAUGUUUUUACCUUUAGGAUCACUUGAUGAACACUAUUUUGUGAAAAUUGUUCAUAUUUGACUUUUAAUCAUGAAUUGAUAAAAGUUGCUUGCUGAAAGUUUAAUUAAAAGCACAAAACACAAGAAAUGAACUAAAAAUAUUGUUAAUGAAAGGGUGUGCCAACAAGAAACGAAAAUUAUGUAUUGGGAUUAAUUUUGACAAUGAUUUGGAGUUGAAAAAUGAGAAUUUGGUUUUUUGAAUUGGUGUUUAGGCUGAUCUGUGGUUUCAAACAAGAAAUGGAAUGGAGAGUUUAGGGACGCCACACUUUCUAAUCCUAGAAAAUGAUAAGUCUAUGGAAUGAAGAUCACCACAAGAAAGGAUUCUUGAUAUGAUCAAUACAAGGUCCAAUCCAGAACCUAAAGAGCAAUUACUCACUUUUUUUUAACGAAAAUUAACUUGUCUUUUAUUCAAUUUUCGUGUCCUAUAUAUAGGUAGGAGGGACACUUGCUGAAUUACAAAGAAAAAUGCAAAUAGCUCUUAGGAUUCCUUCAGCCAAAUUAAUCUAUCAUUAUUUCCUAUGGCUGAAGUAAAUUAACAUGAAUACAAGAAAUGGUUACAAGACAAAUCAAUGAAUGAGGGUGGCUGGUCUUGAUGAUCAUGAUGAUGGACGUGAAUUUGAUGAUGAUGGUGGUUUCAUAUGCUGAAAUGAAAUGCCUUCAUUGUCUCAUUGAAGUCUUGUCCCUUUCCUCUUCAAAAUGGAUUAAACACACAAAAUAACCAUACUUAGUGUUUUUGGACCAAAAUUGGUCUCUUACACUUUUUAUUAUAACAUAACAAGAACAACUAAAUAAAAUGGGCAGCAAGAGAUGCGCCCCACCCCUCCUCCAAUGGUUUGAUGCACAUGACCAUUUUAUCCUCCAUGCUUUCUAGUGUAGGUUUGGACUCCAAGACUUUUGCCACCAAUUGAGUUAGGGCCUCCUUAGCUUUCUUGGUUCUCGACCUUGUCAUUGGUCCUCCUAGCCCUUGAAUUGAAGCACUUGUGUCAUGGACAACCAUGCCCUCAUCAUUGAGUAACUCGCGAGGCGAGCCACUCUACUCGCAAUGGCGAGUUCAGAAAAAGGGGUACUCACUAUGGCGAGCAAGCUACUCGUCGUGGCGAGCUAAAACUGAUGGCUCUCGGGAGUUUGAUAUUUUUCACUCAAAAAUCCCAUUUUUAACUUCCUUAUGCCCAAACUUAAUCCAAAAACUUUCCUACUCAUUUCUAAACAUGUUAAGGCACUCAAAACCAUCUAAAAUUUGACCCCUAACAUUAAUUCACAAAAUCAUGUUUUUCUCACUGAGUAACUCGCUAUGGCGAGCGAUUUACUCGCAAUGGCGAGCGACAACUUGGUUUACUCGCGAGGCGAGAACAGCUACUCGCUAUGGCGAGUGAUGAAUGUCAGCUCUACGGGCAGAAUGCAGUUUUUCCAAAAACUCACCUAAUUCCAUAACUCUAACCUUAAAACUGAUUCUAAUCAUUGUUCUAUGAAUAAUCUAAGGUCUGGACACUAUUUCUACAUCAAUUCAAUAGAUUCCUACUCUUAAAUUAAUCAAUUUCCAACUUCUAAACCUAAUUCCCAAAUUUCCAAAACUACAACCUACAACUUGUUAAAUUCGAUUUUUAGAAUUAUAUCACUUAAAAUUAGAGAAAGUUAGUCCCACCCUUACCUUAGAUUGAUCGAAAGCUUCUCCUCCCUGGUUCUCCUAUUCUCUUGGUUUUCUCCCUUUUUCUCCAAAAACAGGUUUCAUGUGAAAAACUAUCUGACCCUAGUUUUUUCUAUUUAUUUCCUCAACCUACGUUAUCUUAUUCCACUAAACUCUUCUAAAUUCCAAAAUAGCCACUCAACUUAAUAUUAUUUUAUUUUCAAAUCUUAUUCUAUUAAAUAAUAAAAUAAAGUCACUUAAUAAAAGCAACAACAGAUGAUGAGAUAAAACCACAAGUGCACGGUCUUACCGAAGUAGUAAUAAAGAGUAUCGUUCCGACAUGGAGUAGUUUAAUUUAGUUAACCUUUAGAAAUGAUUAGGAGAGAGAAGAGGUUGUAAAUUGGGGGUUUUUAAACGGUUGAAAGCAAUAUAAUAAAAGAGCCUUGGGAUCGUUGGUUUCAUCUAAAUAACAAGUCCUUCCCAAACCAAAACCAUAAGCUUAUAAUGUUAUGUUAGACCUAAUUUCUCAAGACAGUUUCUCUUAAGUUCCUCUAGCAACCAAGCCUAUUUCACUGACUUGAUUACUAUUGGAUUUUGGUUCCUCUAACAACCAAGCCUAUUUCGCUGACUUGAUUGUUAUUAGUUCCCUUGAAGAUCGAAACUAUAUGUCUCAAAGAUUGCAAAGCCUAUUUCGCUGACUUUGCAAUCCUUGUCUGAAUUCACUUGUUCGAAUAUCAAAGCUCCACUUUCGUUUUAUGAAUUGAUAUUUGGAAUAAUGGACGAACAAUUAUCAAACCCUUCACUUUCGUUUCCACAGUUUGAUAAUGGUUAAUCCAUGUUAAGACGGUGAAUUCAGAUAAGAAAUUAGGGUUACAUAAGAUUAAGGCUUAGGGCUUGGUUUGAUUAGGAUUAUGUCAUUUAGACUUAUCCAACAAUCCCAAGACAAGAAGAAGUCUACUCACUCAUGUUCAUCGUAGACAUGGGGGAGAAGAGAGAAAACAUGAAAGUAAAAGACAAUGAAAUAAAGGAAAAGAACUUUAUUUAGAAAAGCAAAUGUCACUUAUUGUAUUCCAAGUAAAGAUGAAUAUUAGUGAUGGCUAGCUACUCUAUUUACAGUACACAAUUGACUUAAAAUCUAAGCAAGUAUAUUCCUAGAAUAUUCUUCGGUAGAUUGUGCGCCAAAAUAGAAUAGCUUGGAGUCAAAGCAAAAGCAGCAAAAGGCAUCUGGAGGGUGGCACGGCCGUGCCAAGGCUAGCACGGGCCGUGCCAAGCUUCUGACUUGUGGGAGAUAUAUUUUGUUUCCCAAUCUUCAUGUUUUUGUGUCCAAUCUGCUCCAAAUCCCUUUCUUUUGCUCCAAGACUCUCUCCAUCCAAUAUUCUUCCCUGAAAUAUAAUAAAUUGCAUUUUAAAGUAAACUAUCCUAAAAAGGAAAUAAUACUAAUAUAAAAUUAUAUAAAAUCUAAACUAAAAAGCAUAUUAAAAUAACAUAUAAAUGACUGAUCAAACUCCCCCAUACUUGAAUCUUUGCUUGUCCUCAAGCAAAAGGCAUAAACAUAGUAGCAUCAAUAGUUAAAUCAAAUGACAGUUAAUUAAAGCACAUGUCUCCUCAAGGGCUUUAAUCCCAAAAUGUACACUAAUCACAAACUCAAGUAUUUCUUGAAAUCUUUAUUCUACCCAACAAUCGAGUUUCAAGUGAGUGUGUGUGUGAAGUCCAACCCUUUUCUUGCUCCUGUAUAAGAUAGGUAUAAUGAGGAAACAUGGUCUAAUCCUAGCACUAAAUUAACCAAGAAAAAUUCCUUCUACAAUUCAUAUAAGAGAGAUGGGAUUUUUUGAGAAUCUUUGUUCUUUUGCCAUAUGCACAUUUUAGGUUCUUUAUUUAAGGAACAACAUUUUCACGUAGGAGGUCGGAGGGCCUACCCCCUUCCCCGAUCUAGAUUCAAUGAUAUUCCUUAAGACAUCGUCUUCACGUAGGAAGUCGAAGGGCCUACCUCCUUCCCCAAUCUAGUUUCAACAAUGCUUUUUAAAGUUUUUUCUCAAGAUAACAAUCACCUUCACGUAGGAAGUCGGAGGGCCUACCUCCUUCCCCAAUCUAGAUUCAGUGAUGAGACCUUGGAAUUGUUUGGCUUUUUGGCUUUUUAUGAUCUCCCUUAUACUCACUUAUACUACUGGCGCUUUGAGAAUUUUUAAAGGUUAAUGCACCACUAAGAUUAGAAUGUGUUUCCUUAAAAUACCUAUUCAUACAUUUACUCAAGGGAAGCAACUUUGUGUUUUUCUCAUUGGAGAAUUUUAUUCACUUUAAAACAAGAUGUGGUUAUAUCAAGAAGACUUAAAACACAAGAAUUUGCUUUCAUGUACAAGAAUCAACAAAAUAAGAGGAGACAAUGAAAAUUUUUGUGUCAUGAUUUUUUCAAUAAAAAUUAACUACUUAACUAUGCCUUUUACAAUAAAACAGAACAAAAGAAUAAAGUUCAAGGGAGUUUGGAAACACUACGACUAAAGACACUUUAUUAGGCUCCCCCCACACUUAGGAGAAGCAUUGUCCUCAAUGAUUCAAGAUAAAAGAAAAAUAACAGAGAAGGAGAGGUAGAAGAGUGAGAUAGAGAUGAAAGAGAUAAGGUCAAAAAGAGGAAGAGGAAAGCUCACAUAUUUAUUGAGGUCCAUAGGGAGGGCCCUGAAGGUGUAAAUGUUGCAUCAUGUUCCGAAGCAUUUGGUUAUUUUCUUCGGAUAUGCGGUUGCCCCGUAGGACAUCAUUUCUUAGCCCAGAUAAUUCAACACCUUGCCUUUGUUGCUCGGUGCCUAUCCUUUGUACCUCGGUUUGCAUCCAUGCCCAUCUUUCAUUGUUGUCGUUAUGGUCAUGGGGCUCUUCUUCAUGGUGCAUGUGAGCACCCUCUUCGUCACCUUGAUUAUGCUCUUCAUGUACCUGUAAUCCAUCACCAACAUACAACAAAUUUUCCUCCACCUCGGGGUUAGUCCGAGAUGGGUUAGGAAGUAAAAACAAAAGUGGUAUGCGAAGUUGAAGUGCAUAAGUCAUGGGUGGGUGAAUCUUAAUGAAGUUCAUAGCAACAAGGGUUUCAAUGUUAAGUCUAUUGUUGCCCUCAAUUGGAUUUAUCCCAUCUUCUUCACUUACUCCAAACUUUCUAGCGAUGAAGGUAAUGAUACCACCGACUACUAUCUCAGCUCUAUUGUCAGGUCUAGCUCCUAUGGAGGAAAGGUAGUCAAGUAGGUAGAAACAAGUAUUAACGGGAUUGUUAUUAAGCAUUGCCCAAAGCAUAAAAAGUUCAUCCGUCCUAGUUGUUCCUACUUCUUUUCUACCCCAAAUUGUACAAGCCAUGACUCUCUGGAGGCAUAUAAGCACGGGGUUGUGAAUGUUACUAGCUUUGUUGUUGCGAGGAUUGUAUUGCCUUAACCCGGUAAUGCGUUUCCAAAAGAGAGCGGGGUCAUAGUGUUCCGACUUUAAAUUUGGAUUCCAAGAGUCAUGGAUGAACCCCGCAUUUGCGAAGUCCAUCUCUAAACAGAAAUUUUCAAGAGACAUCUCAUAAUCCAUAUUCAAAAGUCGGAAGGAAACUCUAUGAUUGGGGUUGUCAAAGUUCACCUUAUCCUUCGUAAAUUCAAUAGAACUUAAGAAUUCAUAAGUGAAAUUUUCGAAGCCCUUCAUAGGUCUAAGCAUAUCAACCCAUCCUAAAUUUCCUAGUAAGCUAAACACAUUAUCCCUUAGUCCUAGCACACUCAAAGUAUAAGGAUCUGGAUAUCGACAAGGAUGCAAAGGUUUAGAGAGAAGAAUUUUAUACCUAUCCCUUUGCUUGGUGUCCUUGAAGAUUAUUCCAUGAUUCUUGGCUUGAGUUUUCUUCUUUUGUUGUGGUCCUCCAGAAGAGCUUCCUCCACCUUUCCUCGAUGCCAUUUAGCCGGAACCUUGGGUGACCGUUUGUGUUUUGGGUGGGGGUGGGGUUUUGGGAAAUGUUUUGAGUAGAAAAGGUUGGUUGGGUAAUGGGGUUGGGGUUGAGUAAGUGAUAGGAGUUGGAUUGGGUGAAUUGAUGAAGAAUUUGUGGGUUUUUUAGGUAGGUGAAUGGGGGCUACGAAUUUGAUGAUAUUCGGGAGGGAUGGAGGAAAGUUGUUUUUGAUUGAUGGGUUAUGUUUGGAAUGGGUUUGUGAUUGAUUGGGUGAAGGAAUUAUGUGAAAUGGUGAGGUUUUGGGGGAGAUAUGGAAGCUUUGAAAUUCUAAGGCUAAGGAGGUUUUUGAGAGUAGUGUAAAUGGAGAGAGAGUUUGUGGUGGAGAAUGAGGGAAGAAGAAGAUGAAAAGGUGGGUUUAUCCUUACCUGUAGUCGGGCACGGCCGUGCCAACCUUAGCACGGGCCGUGCCAACAUUCUGGAGUUUUGGCUGGUUUUGGAUGGGUAUGGUUUGGCACGGCCGUGCCAAGGUUCUGGAUAGUGGCCUCAAAAUUUUUCUUGUUUUGCUUGAAUCACCUUCGGACGAUUACCUACAAAAUAACUUAAAAACAAAAACGAAAGCAGUUAAAUACGUGGGUUGCCUCCCACGAAGCGCUUCUUUAUAGUCAUUAGCUUGACGUUGAAAGAAAGUGUCCUUAGAAUGGAUCAAAGAGGUCAUGUUGUGUAGAUGGCGCUAAUAAGCGUUCUUUCACUUUAUGACCUUUAAUCAUAUUACAAGAGUAGAGGGCGGGACCUUUCAUAUAAUUCUCCAACUCAAAUCCUAUCAACUCAUUACUCACUUGAAAAACAAUCCUACCGUUUUGAACAUCUACUAUAGCACCCGCAGUGGCGAGAAAGGGUCGUCCUAAGAUUAUAGGGCAUGCAUUGUCCUCAUCUAUGUCAAGCACCAUGAAAUCAGUUGGGACUUCCAUCCCUUCUAUUUUAACGGGGACGUCCUCGACAUAUCCGACAGGUUGUAUAUCAGAACGAUCGGCUAAUUUCAAUGUUGUGUCGGUAGGUCUUAGCUUGCCCAACCCCAGCCUUGUAAAGAGGGGUAGGGGCAACAGACUAACACUAGCUCCUAAGUCACAUAAGGCAUGGUUGAAGGAUUCAUUCCCUAUCAUACAAGGGAUGGCAAAACUUCUGGGAUCUCUAAGCUUAGUAGGUGGCUUCUUGAUGAUUGUACUAGUGUCCCUUGUCAAAGCUACUGUUUCAUUUUCAUCUAUAGCCUUUUUCUUUGAAAAAAUUUUCUUUAAAAGCUUGGCGUAUAGAGGCAUACGAGACAAGGCUUCAGCAUAGGGGAUUUUAACGCAAAUCAUUCGAAUUAUGUUAAAGAGUUUAGUGAAUUGAGCCUUCGAGUUGAGCUUAGUAGGCCUUAGAGGUGUUGGGGCUUUGUUUUUAUCAAGCGGUUUCUCACUUUUUAUCACACCAUUCUUACCUAGACACCUGACACUCUCCUUCUUGACAUUUUUAGCUUUAGUAACAGUCUCUUCUAUCUUACUACCCCCUAGAAAAAUAGCGUUGACAUGGGCUUUGGGGUUUGUUUCAGGUUGACCGGGAAGGACUCUCGGUGUUUGAGAAGAGGUGGCCACUUGCUGGGCCACUUGGGAGAUUUGGGUCUCAAGCAUUUUGGUGUGUGUGGCGAUGGAGUCAACCUUGGUAUUGAGCUUGGAGAGAGAGUCGUUCAGAGAUCCUGUUUGGUUUUUUAACUCUUGAAGUUGUUUAUUUUGAUUCAUCAUGCAAUUUUCCAACAUUAUUUCCAAACUAGAUUUCUGAGCCACUCUCUGGUUGUUUGUAUAGCCAGGUGGUGCUGUUUGCCCAUAGGAACCUUGAGGAUUUUUGUAAAAAUUUUGAUUUGGCCUCAUUCCUUGGUUAUAUUGAGCGUAAUUUAGUUGCUCAAUAUUGGCAGCACUACUUAACUGACAAUCAACACCUGUAUGACCAGUUAUACCACAGACUUCACAAGUAGGGGAUGCAGGAGAAGGUGGGACAGCAUUAACAUUAAGUUUUUCAAUUUUUUGUGUUAAUGCCUCAACCUUAGCAGCAAGGUGGUUAUAUUCAGAGACUUCGUAUAUACCUGCCUCUUUCUUAGAGGGAGUAGGAGUGGUGACGGCUCUUUCGUUGGUCCAUUGAUAGUGAUUUUGAGCCAUGUCCUCAAUCAAAGCGUAAGCCUCCGUGUAGUUUUUGUUCAUUAGUGCUCCACCUGCAGCUGCAUCAACAGACAUUUUAGUGGUAUAAGUCAAGCCAUUAAAAAAUGUGUGGACUAUAAGCCACUUCUCUAGGCCAUGGUGGGGACAAAGUCUAAGCAUUUCCUUGAAACCCUCCCACGCCUCAUAGAGAGACUCCCCAUCUUUUUGAUUGAAACGCGUAAUUUGGUCUCUAAGCUUAGCUGUUUUAGAUGGGGGAAAGAAUCGGGCGAGGAAUGCUCGCCUCAUAUCGUCCCAUGAAGUAAUGGAACCGACUUCUAGGGAAUGGAACCAAGCGCUAGCUCUAUCCCUUAAGGAAAAGGGAAAGAGAUGAAGUCUUACGGCUUCUUGGUUCUCUUUAAUGGUGCCACUGAGUCUAAGGAAGGAAGAAAUAUGGAGAUUUGGAUCCUCAGUGGGUGAUCCAGAAAACUGGUUUUGUUGCACUAAAUUGAGUAGUGCAGGCUUGAUUUCGAAGUUAUUACCCCCAACCGUUGGGUACACGAUAAUAGCUUGUGGCUCUUCCGUUGAAGGAGUAGCAUACUCUUUGAGAGUGCGUUCAGCCAUAGCGGUAUUAUUUUGUGCCUCUCUCUUUUUCUUAUGCAAAAACCUUUUGAUCUCAGGAAUAAAUUCUCCGAGACUUUUACUUCUUCGCAUAAGAAACCGAGAACCCAAGAAGUUAGUGGUAAAAACAAAAAGAAAGAAAAAUAGAAGAGAAGAGGAAGAGAAAAGAGAAGAGAGUUCUAAUCACUAGGAAAGAGUUAAUUAAAUUAGUUUACUCCCCGGCAGCGGCGCCAAAAACUUGAUGAGAUAAAACCGCAAGUGCACGGUCUUACCGAAGUAGUAAUAAAGAGUAUCGUUCCGACAGGGAGUAGUUUAAUUUAGUUAACCUUUAGAAAUGAUUAGGAGAGAGAAGAGGUUAUAAAUUGGGGGUUUUUAAACGGUUGAAAGCAAUAUAAUAAAAGAGCCUUGGGAUCGUUGGUUUCAUCUAAAUAACAAGUCCUUCCCAAACCAAAACCAUAAGCUUAUAAUGUUAUGUUAGACCUAAUUUCUCAAGACAGUUUCUCUUAAGUUCCUCUAGCAACCAAGCCUAUUUCGCUGACUUGAUUACUAUUGGAUUUUGGUUCCUCUAACAACCAAGCCUAUUUCGCUGACUUGAUUGUUAUUAGUUCCCUUGAAGAUCGAAACUAUAUGUCUCAAAGAUUGCAAAGCCUAUUUCGCUGACUUUGCAAUCCUUGUCUGAAUUCACUUGUUCGAAUAUCAAAGCUCCACUUUCGUUUUAUGAAUUGAUAUUUGGAAUAAUGGACGAACAAUUAUCAAACCCUCCACUUUCGUUUCCACAGUUUGAUAAUGGUUAAUCCAUGUUAAGACGGUGAAUUCAGAUAAGAAAUUAGGGUUACAUAAGAUUAAGGCUUAGGGCUUGGUUUGAUUAGGAUUAUGUCAUUUAGACUUAUCCAACAAUCCCAAGACAAGAAGAAGUCUACUCACUCAUGUUCAUCGUAGACAUGGGGGAGAAGAGAGAAAGCAUGAAAGUAAAAGACAAUGAAAUAAAGGAAAAGAACUUUAUUUAGAAAAGCAAAUGUCACUUAUUGUAUUCCAAGUAAAGAUGAAUAUUAGUGAUGGCUAGCUACUCUAUUUAUAGUACACAAUUGACUUAAAAUCUAAGCAAGUAUAUUCCUAGAAUAUUCCUCGGUAGAUUGUGCGCCAAAAUAGAAUAGCUUGGAGUCAAAGCAAAAGCAGCAAAAGGCAUAUGGAGGGUGGCACGGCCGUGCCAAGGCUAGCACGGGCCGUGCCAAGCUUCUAACUUGUGGGAGAUAUAUUUUGUUUCCCAAUCUUCAUGUUUUUGUGUCCAAUCUGCUCCAAAUCCCUUUCUUUUGCUCCAAGACUCUCUCCAUCCAAUAUUCUUCCCUGAAAUAUAAUAAAUUGCAUUUUAAAGUAAACUAUCCUAAAAAGGAAAUAAUACUAAUAUAAAAUUAUAUAAAAUCUAAACUAAAAAGCAUAUUAAAAUAACAUAUAAAUGACUCAUCAACAGACCACAUAAUCAUUUAAAUCACAUAAAUGAUUCAAAUAGUAAGGACAGAAGACGCAUAAAUGAUUCAAAUAGAACCUCUUAAGGUUCCACAUAAGUUCAAGACAAUGUUUUAAAGUUUUGAGCUAUCACAACCCUUAUAGUUCCAGAGUUAUUCAUUAUACAAUUGAUGAGAUAAAACCGCAAGUGCACGGUCUUACCGAAGUAGUAUGAAAAGAGUAUCGUUCCGACAGGGAGUAGUUUAAUUCAAUUAACCUUUGGAAAUGAUUAGAGAAGAAAAGAAUUGCAAGUUGGGGUUUUCAAGCGUUUGAAAGAUAAUAAUAAUAAAAGGAGCCUUGGGAUCAUUGGUUUCAUCUAAAUAACAAGUCCUUCACAAACCAAACUAAAAGCUUAUAACUUUAUGUUAGACCUAAUUUCUCAAGACAGUUUCUCUUAUGUUCCUCUAGCAAGCAAGCCUAUUUCGCUAACUUGAUUACUAUUAGAUUUUGGUUCCUCUAACAACCAAGCCUAUUUCGCUGACUUGAUUAUUAUUAGUUCCCUUGAAGAUCGAAACUAUAUGUCUCAAAGAUUUCAAAGACUAUUUCGCUGCCUUUGAAAUCCUUGUCUAAAUUCACUUGUUCGAAUAUCAAAGCUCCACUUUCGUUUUAUGAAUUGAUAUUUGAGAUGAUGGAUAAACAAUUAUCAAACCCUCCACUUUCGUUUCCACAGUUUGAUAAUGGUUAAUCCAUGUUAAAGCGGUGAAUUUAGAUAAGAAAUUAGGGUUACAUAAGAUUAAGGCUUAGAGCUUCGCUUGAUUAGGAUUAUGUCAUUUAGACUUAUCCAACAAUCCGAAGACAAGGAGAAGUCUACUCACUCAUGUUCAUCGUAGACAUGGGGGAGAACAGAGAAAGCAUAAAAGUAAAUGACAAGAAAAUAAAGGAAAAGAAAAGAACUUUAAUUAGAAAGCAAUUGUCACUUAUUGAAUUCCAAGUAAAGAUGAAUAUUUGUGAUGGAUGGCUACUCUAUUUAUAGCAUACAUUCGACUUAAAAUCUAAGUGAUUACAUUACUGGAAUGUUCCACAAGAAACUGCGGGCUAAAAUAGAGUAGCUUAAAAUCUAAGCAAAAGCAGCAAAAGUAACUCUGGAGGGUGGCACGGCCGUGCCAAUGCUAGUACGGGCCAUGCCAAGCUUCUGACUUUGGGGAGACAUAUUUUUGUCUCUCAAUCUUCGUAUUUUCGCACCGAAUCAGCUCCAAGUCCCUUUCUUUUGCUUCAAGACUCAAUCCAUCCAAUAUUCUUUCCUGAAAUAAAAUAGAAUGCAAUUUGUAGUAAACUAUCCUAAAAAGGAAAUAAUACUAAUAUAAAAUAAAAUAAAAUAUAAUUAAAACUAAACUAAAUAACAUAUAAAAAUAGGUAAUAAAUGACUCAUCAAACUCCCACACACUUGAAUCUUUGCUUGUCCUCAAGCAAAAUGCAUAGACAUGGCAGCAACAAAAAAGGAUUAAUAUAUGACAAUUCAAAUAAAAGCUUAUGUCUCCUUCGAGGUUUCAUUUCAAUGUACACUAAUCACAACUUCAAGUAUUCCUUGAGAACUUAUUCAACCCAACAUCAAGUCUUAAGUGAGUGUGUGUGUGUGUAGUCCAACCUUUUUCUUGCUCCUGUAUAAGAUAGAUAUUAUGAGGAACAGGUUCUAACCUUAACACUAAAGUGACCGAGAAAAAUCCUUUCUUCAUUUCAUAUAAGAGAGAUGGGAGAGUUUAGAUAGAUUUGAUAAUUUAGACACUUGGGGGCUUGUAGAUGCCUAAGGGCUAUCAUUUCACAUUGGAAGUCCGCGAGGGGGUAUCCAUUCCUCCAAGUUUCCAUGAUCACCCUAAGUAGUGCUACAACUUAUUCAUCUUCACUUAGGAAGUUCCUCUUUUUAGAGGGUUUAAUUUAAGCACAAUUUGUUUGAGAAGUCAUCACCAUAUUUAGGAAGUCAGUGUGGGGGUAUCCUUUCCUCCACGUGCUGGUGAUAUUCUUCUGCCCCAUUUUGGUUUACACAUUACAGCACAUUAGAAUUAUUCCCACACAAACUUAUACUACUUUUACUCUGAAGAUUUUUAAGGGUCCAAGUUACCAUUAAAGUUAGAACGUGUUCCUUAAAAUACCUAUUCAUACACUUACUCAAGGAUUGCAACUAGGUGCUUUUCUCAUUAGAGAAUUUUCACAAUAAAACUUGAUGUGGGUAUAGCAAGAACACUUGCAACACAAGAAAUCACUUUCAUGUACAAGAAACGACCAUUGAAGAGACAACAAAAAAUUUAUGUCAUAAUAAAAUAAUAAAAAGAAGCUACUUAUUCAUGCCUUUUACAAUAAAACAAAACAAAAGAAUAAAGUUCAAGGGAGUUUGGAAACACUACUACUAAAGACACUUUAUUUAGGCUCGCCCCACACUUAGGAGAAGCAUUGUCCUCAAUGAUUCAAGAUAGAAGAAAGAGAAGAAGGAGAAGAAUGAGAUAGAGAUUGAAGAGAUAAGGUGAAAAAGAGGAAGAGGAAAGCUCACAUUUUUAUUGAGUUCCAUAGGGAGGACCUUGGAGGUGGAAAUGUUGCAUCAUGUUCUGAAGCAUUUGGUUAUUCUCUUCGGAUAUGCGGUUGCCUCUUAGGACAUCAUUCCUUAGCCUGGAUAAUUCAACACCUUGCCUUUGUUGCUCGGUGCUUAUCCUUUGUACCUCAGUUUGCAUCCAUGCCCAUCUUUCAUUGUUGGCAUUAUGGUCAUGGGGCUCCUCUUCAUAGUGCAUGUUUGCACCGUCUUCUUCACCUUGAUUAUGCUCUUCAUGUACCUGUAAUCCAUCACCAACAUACAACAAAUUUGCCUCCACCUCGGUGUUAGUCCGAGAUGGGUUAGGAAGCAGAAACAAAAGAGGUAUACGAAGUUGAAGUGCAUAAGUCAUGGGUGGAUGAAGCUUAAUGAAAUUCAUAGAUACAAGGGUUUCAAUAUUAAGCCUAUUGUUGCCCUCGAUUGGAUUUAUUCCUUCGGCUUCACUCACUCCAAACAUCCUAGCGAUGAAGGUGAUGAUACCACCAACUACUAUCUCAGCUCUAUUAUCAGGUCUAGCACCUAUGGAGGAAAGGUAAUCAAGUAGGUAGAAGCAAGUAUGAACGAGGUUGUUACUAAGCAUUGCCCAAAGCAUAAAGAGUUCAUCCGUCCUAGUUGUUCCUACCUCUUUUCUACCACAAAUGGUACAAGCCAUGACUCUUUGGAGGUAUCUAAGCACUGGGUUGUGAAUGUUACUAGCCUUAUUGUUGCGAGGAUUAUAUUGCCUUAACCCGGUAAUGCGUUUCCAAAAGCGAGCGGGGUCAUAGUCUUCCGACUUUAGAUUUGGAUUCCAAGAGUCAUGGAUGAACCCCGCAUUUGCGAAGUCCAUCUCUAAACAAAAAUUUUCAAGAGACAUCUCGUAAUCUAUAUUCAAAAGUCGGAAGGAGACUCUAUGGUCGGGGUUAUCAAAGUUUACUUUAUCCUUCGUAAAUCCAAUAGAACUUAAGAAUUCAUAAGUGAAAUUUUCAAAACCUUUCAUAGGUCUAAGCAUAUCAACCCAUCCUAAAUUUCCAAUUAAGCUAAACACAUUAUCCCUUAGUCCUAGCACACUCAAAGUAUAAGGAUCAGGAUAUCGACAAGGGUGCAACGGUUUAGAGAUAAGAAUAUUAUACCUGUCCCUUUGCUUAGUGUCCUUGAAGAUUAUGCCAUGAUUCUUGGCUUGCGUUUUCUUCUUUGAUUGUGGUCCUCCGGAAGAGCUUGCUCCACCUUUUCUAGAUGCCAUUAUCCUUAACCUUGGUUUGACCUUUUGUGAUGGUGGUAAAGGUUGGUUUAGUGAUGGGGUUAAGGGUUAAGUGAGUUUUAAGAGUUGGGUUGUGGAGUUUGGUGAUGAAUUUGUGGAUUUUGGGUUAGGUUAAUGGGGGUUACGAAUUUGGGUGAUUUUGGUUUGGAUGGAUGAAAGUUGUUUUUGAAUGGUGUGUUAUGAUUGGAAUGGUGUUUGUGAUUGAUGGGGUAAAGAAAUGGUGUGAAUUGGUGAAGUUUUGAGGGAGAUAUGGAGUUUUGAGGGAGAUAUGGAGUUUUGAGGUUUUGUGGUUAUGGAGGUUUUAGAGAAAGAAUGGAAGGAUGAGAGAUAUUUGUGGCGGGCACGGCCGUGCCAGCCUUAGCACGGGCCUUGCCAACUUCCUGGAUUGUGGAAUGGUUUUUGGAAGGCAAGGUCUGGAACGGCCGUGCCAGUGUGAGCACGGGCCGUGCCAAGGUUCUGGAUAAAUUGGCUUCAAAAUUUUCCGUGUUCUCGAAUCAUACUCGGACAAUUACCUACAAAACAAUUAAAAAAACAAAACAAAACAAAAGCAGUUAAAUUCGUGGGUUGCCUCCCACGAAGCGCUUUUUUAUAGUCAUUAGCUUGACGUUUUAAGAAAGUGUCCUUAGAAGGAAUCAAAGAGGUCAUAUCAUGUAGAUGACGCUAAUGAGCGUUCUUUCACAACAUGACCUUUAAUCAUGUUACAAGAAUAGAGAGCGGGACCUUUCAUAAAAUUCUCCAACUCAAACCCUAUCAGCUCAUCACUCACUUGAAAAACCAUUCUACCAUUCUGAACAUCUGCUAUAGCACCCGCAGUAGCGAGAAAGGGUCGUCCUAAAAUUAUAGGGCACUCAUUGUCCUCAUCUAUGUCAAGCACCAUGAAAUCAGUUGGGAUAUGUAUCCCUUCUAUUUUAACGGGGAUGUUGUUGGAACAAAAUGUGUUUCACAAUAAGCCUUAAUGAGUUUUGAUGAUAACAAGGUAUUAAAAAUUGUCAAUUGGUUAUUGCUAAUAAUUGUUCAAGUGUACAGGACCAUAGGCAAAGUUAAUCAAUUUCAAUAGGUCUUGGAAGAACAAUAGAGAGCAAAGGAAUCUAAAGCAUCUGAAGAAAAUUGCGUCUGAAAUAAUCUAAAGCAUCUGAAGUAGCAAGUGCCUCUGAAGUAAUGAUGUCAUCAGAAGCAGAAGUUCAUCAGAAGCAGAAGUCCAUCAGAAGCAAGAUUUCAUCAGAAGCUAUAUCAUCACCAGAAGCUACAGUUGAUCAGAAUAUUUUAAACUGAAGUUUCAAAGGAGCUGUUUUUCGUUUUAACCUCGUCUAAGAGAACGAUGAAUUAAAAGGGAGGUACCAACGGUCAUUUGAAAAGCACUGGGUGUUUGUCCUUCUUUGAAGAGUUGACAAAGUACAAGUGUACAACCACUACCUCCACUACUCUGUUUUUUUGUCUAUGCUACAAGACAAGACAACAGCUCUGCCUGCAGAAAUGAUCCUUCAAGAUAGGAAUGAAUUUGAAGUUGAUCCUUCAUAGGACUACACCCAAAUCAGGCAAAAGAUUACUGGUGGAUGAUCAAAGGAACUCAACGACUCUUUAGACGUGCUAAAAAUCUCAACGUCUCUCUACUCACCACUGUAUAAAGGAGUGAAGACUUGAAGAUUAGCAGGAGACAUCAACACAAGUUAAAAGCGCCAAAACUCUGCCAAAUUUGAUUCUAAAAAGCACUUUGAAUUUCUGCACCGAUUUGAUAUAUCUUAGAAAUUCUUAAGUCUAGAGUCUUUAUUGCAUUGUAUUGUGAACACCACUGAUUGUAUAUCAAGUGUUCAAAGUCAAACAAUUUUCUGUGUAAUUUUGUUUGAUUAGAAGUCUCUCGCCUGCGUGCUUGACGAUUAGAAGACUCUUGCUUUAGUGCUUGAGCAUUGGAAGUCUCUCGCCUGCGUGCUUGAGCAUUUGAGAAGUCUCAUACUAGAGAGUAUUAAGCAUUUGUAAUCUGUGUGAUUAUUUUUAGUGGAAAUCUCCUUGGAAGUGCAAGGGGGACUGGACUACUUCCGAUUUGUGGAAGGAACCAGGAUAAUUGCUUGUGUCUCUCUUUCUUUUCUCUGCUCUGUUUUUAUUCCGCUGCAUAUCUGAUUCUGAACAUCACAUCAGAAGCAUUCCUAACCAGCUUCUGAAGUGAUAUCAGAAGAAGAAUUUUUUAGAGAGAAAGAAAACACAAUUCAACCCCCCCUUCUUGUGUUUUUCUCACCUUCAGAUUUCUUCAACAUAUCCGACAGGUUGGAUAUCAGAACGAUCGGCUAACUUCAAUGUUGUUUUGGUAGGUUUUAACUCCCCUAUUCCCAGCCUUUUAAAGAGGGGUAAGGGCAACAGACUAACACUAUCUCCUAAAUCACAUAAGGCUCGAUUUAAGGUUUCACUCCUUAUCAUACAAGGGAUGGCAAAACUUCCUGGAUCUCUAAGCUUUGGAGGUGGCUUCUUGAUGGUUGCACUUAUUUCUCUUGUCAAAGCUAUUGUCUCAUUUUGCUCUAUAGCCUUUUUCUUUGAAAAAAUGUCUUUUAAAAACUUGGCAUAUAGAGGCAUACGAGACAAAGCUUCAGCAAAGGGAAUCUGAAUGCAAAUCUUUUUAAGUAUGUUUAAGAAUUUAUUAAAUUGAGCCUCCAAGUUAAGCUUAACGAGCCUUAAUGGGGAAAUGGCUUUGUUUUCUUCAUGUGAUUUCUCUAUCGCAUCCUUCUCACCUAGAAGCUUAACAAUCUCUCCCUUGACACUUUUGGCUUUAGAAACGGUCUCUUUUAACCUACUACCCCCAGGAGAAAUAGCAUUGACAUGAGCUUUGGGGUUUGUUUCAGGUUGACCGGGAAAGACUCCUGGUGUUUGAGAAGAGGUGGCCACUUGUUGGACCACUUGGGAGCUUUGGGUUUCGAGCAUCUUGGUGUGUGUGGCGAUAGAAUCAACCUUAGUAGUGACUUUGGAGAGAGAGUCGUUCAGAAAUCCCGUUUGGUUUUUCAGUUCUUGAAGUUGUUUAUUCUGAUUCAUCAUGCAAUUUUCCAACAGAAUUUCCAAACUAGAUUUCUGAGCCACCCUCUGGUUGUUUGUAUAGCCAGGUGGUGCUACUUGCCUAUAGGAACCUUGAGGGUUUUUGUAAAAGUUUUGAUUUGGCCUCGUUCCUUGGUUGUAUUGUGCAUAAUUCAUUUGCUCAAUACUAUUAGUAGCACUAUCUAACUGUCAAUCAACACCAAUAUGACCAAAUAUACCACAGAUUUCACAAGGAGGAGAUGUAGGUGAAGGUGUGACAGCAUUAACAUUAAGUUUUUCAAAUUUUUGAGUUAAGGCAUCAACCUUAGCAGCGAGGUGAUCAUAAUCGGAGAAUUCGUACAUACCUGCCUCCUUUUUGGAGAGUGUAGAGGUGGUGAUGGCUCUUUCGUUGGUCCAUUGGUAGUGAUUCUGAGCCAUGUCUUCAAUCAAUGUGUAAGCCUCCGUAUAGUUCUUGUUCAUUAGUGCUCCACCUGCAGCUGCAUCAACAGACAUCUUAGUGGUAUAUGUUAGGCCAUUAUAAAAAGUGUGGACUGUGAGCCACUUUUCUAGACCAUGGUGGGGACAAAGUCUAAGCAUUUCCUUGAAACGCUCCCACGCAUCAUAGAGAGACUCCCCAUCUUUUUGGUUGAACCGCGCGAUUUGGUCUCUUAAUUUGGUGGUUUUGGAAGGGGGAAAGAAUCGGGCAAGGAAUGCUCGCCUCAUUUGAUCCCAUGAAGCGAUAGAACCAACUUAUAGGGAAUGGAACCAAGCGCUAGCUGUAUCCCUUAAGGAGAAGGGAAAGAGAUGAAGUCUUACGGCUUCUUGGUUCUCUUUUAUGGUGCCACUGAGUCUAAGGAAGGAAGAAAUAUGGAGAUUUGGAUCCUCAGUGGGUGAUCCAGAAAACUGAUUUUGCUGCACCAAAUUGAGUAGUGCAGGCUUGAUCUCGAAAUUGUUACCCUCAACCGUCGGGUACACGAUAAUAGUUUGUGGCUCUUCCGUUGAACGAGUAGCAUACUCUUUGAGAGUGUGUUCAGCCAUAGCAAUAUUAUUUUGUGCCUCUCUCUUUUUUUUAUGCAAAUAUCUUUCAAUCUCAGGAAUAAAUUCUCCUAGACUUUUACUUCUUCGCAUAAGAAAUCGAGAACCCAAGAAGUUAAUGGUAACAGAAAGAAAGAAGUAGAAGAAAAGAGGGAGAAGAAAGAGUUCUAAUCACAAAGAAAGAGUUAAUUAAAUUAGUUAACUCCCCGGCAGCGGCGCCAAAAACUUGAUGAGAUAAAACCGCAAGUGCACGGUUUUACCGAAGUAGUAUGAAAAGAGUAUCGUUCCGACAGGGAGUAGUUUAAUUCAAUUAACCUUUGGAAAUGAUUAGAGAAGAAAAGAAUUGCAAGUUGGGGUUUUCAAGCGUUUGAAAGAUAAUAAUAAUAAAAGGAGUCUUGGGGUCGUUGGUUUCAUCUAAAUAACAAGUCCUUCACAAACCAAACGAAAAGCUUAUAACUUUAUGUUAGACCUAAUUUCUCAAGACAGUUUCUGUAACGCCCUAGUCGUUAUUUAAUUAUUUUUGAUUUAUUUGGAGCUUCAUAUAUGAUUUUAUGUGAUUUUUGGUGAUUUAUGUGGUGUGUUUAUUUUAUUAUAUGGUUUAUUUUAUUAAUAAUUAGAAUAAGUGGGGAAGAUAAUUAAUUAGAGUUUUGGGGGUUAUGUUAGAAUUUAAUAGAAUUAAGGGGGAGUAAAUAGAAUAGAGAGGAGUUAAGAAAGGAGUUAAGAAAGAAAGAAAAAGUCAGAAAACGUUUUUACGUGUAACUGUCAGUUUUUGGGAGAAUAGGAGAGAAGAGCAAGGAGAGCCAAGGUUGUCAUUUUCUGUACUGAUUUUUCUGCAAAACUAAGGUAAGGGUGAGGUUUACCGCAAUCUUAUAGGUUCUGAAUUCUGAUUUUGUUUUUAACAGGUUUAUGUGAGAAUUGGGAGAAGUUAGGUUUUGUUAAAUUAAUGGGUUUUGAGAGUAGGAACCACUGAAUUGGUGUUAUGAAUGGGUUAUGGGUGCAUAUAACUUCUCAUUGCAUAUCUGUAAGCUAAUUUGGGGAGUGAAUUGGAGGAAAAUGGGAUUUUUGGGAAAAACCUGCAUUCUGCCCGUACAGAAGUUCAUCGCUCGCCUCGCGAGUAGCCUUUGAUCGCCAAGGCGAGUGAGCAACUUCAUGGCUCGCCUCGCGAGUGAGACAACUCGCCAUGGCGAGUACCCUUGAGAAAAUCUCGAUUUUUGAAGUGUUGUUACAAGCCGUAUUUUGGGUAGUUUUAUGUACCUAGAUGACUUUAGAGAGGAUUGCAGCAAGUUUUAGAUUAAAAGGGUGAAUAGGGAGCUUAGAAUUGAUGAUUUAGUGAGAAAAUGCCAAAACUCCCGAGAGAACCAUGUUCCUGUUCGCCUCAAGUUCGCCUCGAACUCGCCAUGGCAAGUGCCUUAGUUCCUAAGCUCGCCAUAGCGAGCAGAUGUGCUCGCGAGGCGAGCUGCCCAGUAUUUUGUUGGAUUGUUUUCUGUUGUGGAUGGUUGAUUUAUCUUGUUGAUUAAGCAUGGCUUUUAUGUUGGUGUAUUUUUCUGGAUGUAUGUUUUAUUUAAUUAAGUUAUACCUGAAUAUGGUAAAUUGGAGUGGUGUGUCAUAUACAUAUAUAUAUAUAUGCAUAAGUUGGUUGUAUGUAGAUAUACUCAAGUGGGUUAGUUGCAUAAGCAUAACAGUGGGAGAGCUUCGGCUCUGGAACGCCUUGUCGUUCAAAGUGGUGGAGCACUAGUUGCUCAAAGUGGUGUUAGUGGUGAGGACUUAGGUCCUGAAAAUGAAUGCUUUAACUAUUCUACAGCGGUGAGGGCUACGGUCCUGUUUAUGGUACCACAUGCAUGGGUGUUGUUAGAGGAGUCUUAGUGGAGCGGUGAUAAGUUGCAUGAGUCGUUAAGUGGGUUAUUAAUUACCAUUGUUGAUAAUAUUUGAAAAUGAUGAUAUUUAUAUAUUGUUGAUGAAUUAUAUGAUAGGGUGUUAGAUUCAUUUGAUGCAUUCUUUAUCUAUAUUAUUGUUGUGAAUCUCACCCCUUCUGCUUGAAAAUGUUGCCCUUCCUAUGGGUAACUUGCAGGCGAUCCUGAGUAGUUGGUGGUGGCUCAAAGUGUCUAGGGCUCUGAUACGUGGGAUGAGAUUUUAUAGUUUAAUUUCUUUCCUAUAUAUGUAUCAAAUUUUGAAUAUUGCUGUUGUAGCCCUAUUGAUGUUGGAUUUUAUGAUGUUAAGGCUUUCAUGCCAAGAAUUUAUUAUGGAGUUUUAAAACAGUAUGAAUUGUGGGUUGAUGAGAAUAUUCCGCUGCAGAUUUAAUGAUUAUUAUGAAUGUGAUGUGACAUGCCCGUUGGGUUUACUCUGAUAUUGAAUUAUUAUUACUAUUUAAUUGUUUUUGGGAACGACAAACAAUUAUCAAACCCUCCACUUUCGUUUUAUGAAUUGAUAUUUAAGAUGAUGGAUAAACAAUUAUCAAACCCUCCACUUUCGUUUCCACAGUUUGAUAAUGGUUGAUCCAUGUUAAAGCGGUGAAUUUAGAUAAGAAAUUAAGGUUACAUAAGAUUAAGGCUUAGAGCUUGGCUUGAUUAGGAUUAUGUCAUUUAGACUUAUCCAACAAUCCGAAGACAAGGAGAAGUCUACUCACUCAUGUUCAUCGUAGACAUGGGGGAGAACAGAGAAAGCAUAAAAGUAAAUGACAAGAAAAUAAAGGAAAAGAAAAGAACUUUAAUUAGAAAAGCAAUUGUCACUUAUUGAAUUCCAAGUAAAGAUAAAUAUUUGUGAUGGAUGGCUACUCUAUUUAUAGCAUACAUUCGACUUAAAAUCUAAGCGAUUACAUUACUGGAAUGUUCCACAAGAAACUGCGGGUUAAAAUAGAGUAGCUUAAAAUCUAAGCAAAAGCACCAAAAGUAACUCUGGAGGGUGGCACGGCCGUGCCAAUGCUAGCACGGGCCGUGCCAAGCUUCUGACUUUGGGGAGACAUAUUUUUGUCUCUCAAUCUUCGUAUUUUCGCACCGAAUCAGCUCCAAGUCUCUUUCUUUUGCUUCAAGACUCAAUCCAUCCAAUAUUCUUUCCUGAAAUAAAAUAGAAUGCAAUUUGUAGUAAACUAAAAUAAAAUCUAAUUAAAACUAAACUAAAUAACAUAUAAAAAUAGGUAAUAAAUGACUCAUCAACAAUCCACUUGAGAUUCUAAAAUAUAACACUAUCUAGAAAGCUAACAGAUGGGCCAUCACUUCAGUUCAAGGGUUUCACAUCAUAUAGUUCAUAUAAUAAUGAAACUGGGACAAAACCACAAAACCUGAAUAAUACUAAAGUAAUUUCUGUGUUAUGGUAUCUGAAGAAAUAAUUAGUACAUGAAUAUGUACAAGUUAAUCAAUGUACAUAUUUGAUAUUAAUGAGUACAUGAUUUACAUAUAAACAAUUAGCCAUGCAAAAUCAAACUAUAUUAUUUCUUCAGGCGACACUUAACAUCUCUAUAGUGUAACACUGACUUUCAGGUAUUUGUUAUGAGUUGUUGCAUCAGGAUCAUGUUUUGUGUGCUAGCAAUUUGGCAGAAUCUCAUAUUUGUUUAAUAAUACACAAAAAAAAAAAAAAAAAACACUUGCACAAAUAACAUAUUGAGAGCUUUCAAAUAAUUAAUUUAUUAAACUAAUUUCAAAACAAAAACAAAACAAAGAUGAGGGUUAUUCAAACAAAACAAAAACAAAAAAAUCAAAAACGAAACCAGGAAAUCAUCAAUCAUAUAAUCAAAACUGGACUUUAUUAUCAAAAGUGAACCUUAUUAAUCAACUAAAAAGAAGAAUAAUACAAAGAUGAGGGUUUAAUUAUUUCAGAAUCAUCAAACGAAGAUGGGUUUGAGUCAAAGAUUGAGGAAUCCAUAGGUUUGAGGUUCCAUAUUGGGUUUUGAAUCGAAAAUAUAUCAAUAAUAAACAUUAUUUUCAAUUCAAUUUACAAGAUUAUGAAUCCAUGAAUCACAAACGACACAAAUUGAUAGACCUGUGAAAAAAAUCAAGACAAAAGGUAAAGCGAGAGAGAGGACCUGAGAAGGAAGUGAGACGGAGAGUGACGGAAGGGAAAGCGGUGGCCGGAGAGACAGGACUUGAAGGAUUCUCCGGUGAGAAUAACAAUUUCGAUGGGAGAAGAUGAGACGAUGAGAGAGAGAACUUGAAAGAAAAAGAAUGAAGUUUUUGUUAUAAAAUAUUAUUUUAUGUGUUAAGAAAGAUAUAAAAAAAAAAAGAGGAAAAGGAAAGAUGGAGGGAUUUUCUAAAAUUUUAAGGAAAAAAAAAAAAGGGAAGUAAUUAGUGUGCCAAAUGUUGUGGAGUUGAAAAAAUUAAAAACGUUAAUACUUGCGGUCUAAAAUACCAUAAUAAACAAGGUUAAUUGUACCAUAAUAUUUUGUUAAUACCAGCAGUCGAAAACGUACAAUAAAAAGCGGCGGUGAAUAAAACUGCCGCAAUACACUGGUUAUAGUAGCGGUUAACAUGGACCGCCGGUAUAAAACCGCCAGAAUUAACGCGUUUUUUUAUAGUGAAGGUAUUUAAAAGAUCACACUAGUUGUUUUAUUUUUUCGGGGUCAAGUAACUUAGCGGCUAGAGAAAAUCACUAAAUGGAGUGUUUGGAAUUCGAACCUCAAUCCCGCAUGUAUUAUGCAUAUACUAUGCAUUAUCUCAUUUAUGGAUUUUCUAUGAAACUCUCCAAUCGAUAGAAGAAAGAAAGAAAAAAAAAGUAGUGGGUUAGAAACGGCACUUUUUGUGGGUCAUUCAAAAUAAAAUGGUCUCUUUCAUGAAAUCAUAAAUGCAGUAAAAGAUUAAACAGAAAGGAAACCUGCAAGUCAUGGGUUCGCAGCCCUCAGAUUUGGACACAAGAAACAAGGCGCAUAAACAUAUCAUCUUCUUCCCGCCUCUCAUCCGCAUUCAUCUUCUAAAAGUCGGUGCAUUCAAUCCCUUCAUGCCAUGGAAUCUUACAAACAAAGCCUCGCACAAUCUCUAAAGGGACAAUAGAAUUUCUCUAAAACAAACAAAGCCUCGCACAACGCCUUACACCAGCGUUCAAAAAGGACCACAGGAAGAAUAGAACGACAUAACUCAGCUUCUAGCAAAACCAUUGCACCCAGAAACAGGACACCGAACGUUGAUGAUGUUAUCUUGAAGCUUGGAAUCGGAUGUAUUUUGCUAUGCAAUCAGAGCAAUAUGCAUGAGAGCAACAGCUGAUGUAGAAAACAUCCUUCAUUCUUUUAGUUUCGGUGCAGAUUUCGCAAACCAACUGAGUGUUAUUUGAAUUUGAAGACUCUCUUUUUUCGAUGUUGUUUCUUUUACGUUAUCGAAAAAGGGUAUUUUUGGGAAUGAAGUCCAGGAUCCUAACAUCGUCGUCGUCCAUCACGACGGAGAUGUGGUUGACGGAUAAGUGAAAGGUUUCGAGUUCAAUUACCUCUACUUUGGAAUGUGGAUUUCUUGUUGUUUCCUGACCCAUUGGAAAUUAGUUAAUCAAUUCAGUAGUGAGUGUAACAUAUAUACAGGAUUCUGUUACCAAACUAUUAAAAUGGUAUCCUAAUUAUCCGUUGUAACAAACAAAAUGCGAUGAGGUAAUCGCACCGUUUAAACUCAAAUGUUUGAUAAAAGUGAUUUUGACAUAAAAUAAUGGGUUAAUAGUGUUUUUCACCUCUGUAAUAUAUGUCAUUUUCAGUUUUCGCUUCUAUAAAAUUUUCGGUUUGAUUUGCAUCCUCGUAAAAUUUUUAUUUUUCUGGAAAACACCCUUAAUAGGCCAUUCAAAAACCAAAAUUUCUUGAAUUUUUUUUUAUGAAAAUGGCCUAUUAGGGGUGUUUUUCUUAUGAAAAAUAAAAAUUUUACGAGGGUGCAAAUCAAACCGAAAAUUUUAUAGGGGCAAAAACCGAAAAUGACAUUUAUUACAAGACUGAAAACCACUAUUAGCCCUAAAAUAAUUUAGAGAUUGUUUGUUUUUUAAAGAUUUUAUAAAAAAAUUAGAAUCUAUUUUGCGUUUGUUUGCUGUAAUGAAAAUCUUUUUUUUUUUUUUUAAAGAAAUAAUUUAGUUUGUUUGGAUAAAACUAUAUAAAUAGAUUUGGUUUGUUACAAAAUUAGUUCAUUCUUUUGAACCAUAUAUUUUCUCUCCUCUAAAAAAAUAUUUGUUUUUAGAAGUGCUCUGAACAGCUUCUCAUUUGAAACUGUUUUUAGAUUUUUUUUAGAUUUUAAUCUUUUUUAUAAAAAAAGUCGUAACAAACGGAUGCAAUACUCUUAAAAGUGAUUAUUUUAUUUAAAAAAAAACUGAUUUUUUUCUUAAAAAGGCCAUUACAAGCGGGAUCUUAUGCAGGAGGCAGCGCAGUUGAUAGUUUACCUUGCACAAAUUUAGUGUCGUGAAACAUCUUAAAAAGAGCGACAUGGUCGUGAUUCAACUCGAUAAUCUCUUCGGUGGUAAAUUCUCUUUUUAAAAGGUACAUUUUCUAAAUCGAAAACUAACAAUUUUAAUAGAUUUCAAAAACCACAUUGACUACCGAAGAAAUUAUCGCUUCUGGUUUAGCUGUUAACUUCAAUAAGUUGUUUCGGUUUCAAGGUAGUCACUUCAAACGCCGGCAACGAAAGACUGUAUUUUUCUUAACUACCAAAAAGUUUGCAAACGUCUUUAAGGAAGACAUAGAUGUUAUGAAGAUGAGUUCGACUCAUCCCGAAUUGAAUAAUAACGGCAAGCCUCCAAUGGAAUCAGAUGUGUAUGAUCCUGAUGAGAAGGAAAAACAACAUGUUAUAGAUAAAUCCCUCUGAAAAGAUAAUGGUUGUCUAUGCAAAAACUUUAUUUUGAAUGGACUCGCAGACAAUUUGUAUGAUUAAUAUGGACUCUAUCAUACUGCUAAAUAGUUUUGGGAAGCUCUGCAGAAAAAGCACGAUACCGAAGAAGCUGGAGUCAAAAAGUACGUUGUGAGCAUUUACCUAAACUCCAAGAUGAACGAUGGCAAACCUGUGGAGGCACACUCUCAUGAACUACAAAAGAUAGCUCAAGAAAUCGUUGUUGGAGGUAUGUAAUUAUCUGAACAAUUUCAAAAUGUUGUUAUUAUUCAUAAAUUGGCAUAUGUUUCAAAGGACUUAAAAAAUCUUCUGAGGCAAAAAACUAAGGAGUUCUCUCUUAAAAGUCUUUUGAAAGCCUUCGUAUUGAAGAGGAAGCUAGGAAACAAGAUAUAAACGAAGAGGUGUUUUCUGCCUCGAACAACAACACUAAAAAGAAAUUUGUAGAUAUUGUUCUAAAUCAUAAGCGAUGAAACAAUGAUAAAAGACGAUAAUUAAGGCACAAAUGUAACGCCCUCUUUGAAUUAUUUCAUUAUUUAAUUGAGUCUAGAAGUUAUUUAGAUGAGUGUAUAUUAUAUUUAUAUAAUAUAUGUGUGAUUUAUAUGAUUUAUAUGAUUGAGGUGGAUUUUAUGAUUUUAUGAGGAGUUGUGACUUAUUUUAUUGUUUAAUAAAAUAAGAUUUGAAAAUAAAAUAAAUAUUGAGUUUAGGGGCUGUUUUGAGAUUUUAGAGAGUUUUGGGGGAGAAAGAGAAAUAAGAUAAGAUAAUUGGAGGAGAUAUAAAUAAGAAAGACCUAAGUUAGAAAAACAUAACGUACGUACGAUCAGUUUUGGAAAAAGGAAGAAAAAGCCAAGAGAAGAGGGAGAAGACCUAGAGGCUGCGAUUUUCACACUUUAAGGUAAGGGUGAGACUAGCUUUGCAAUUCUAUUAAGUAUGUGAAUCAACGGUUACAUUUAACAUGAAUUAGGAUGAGUUUAAGAGGAAUCGGAAAUUAAGUCAAAUUGAGUGAAUUGAUGAUUAAACGGUGAAAACUUGUUAAAAAGAUGUAGAAACUGUCCUUAGACCUUAGAUAAUGAUUAUGAUGAAUUCUGGAAUCGAGAUUAGUCUUAAAACCAUGCGAGUUGAUGAUUUUAGGUGAAAAUUGCAUCCUUCCCGUAGCGACAUUCAUCGCUCGCCUCCCGAGCUAUGAUCCUCGCCACGGUGAGUGAUGAACUUCAUCGCUCGCCACGCGAGUAACUUUUCCCCGCCUCGCGAGUUGCACGUCGCAGCUCGCCAUGGCGAACACUUGAACUCGCCUAGCGAGCUUGACCAGAGAGCAUGCAAGAUUUCGUAUUUUUGACUUUUGAGUUGAACCUUAGAUGCUUUUGAGUGCCUAAACAUGUCUAAUAUGAUUAGGAAAGAAAGUAGAAUGAGAUUGAACCUGGAAAGACUUAGAAUGAAAACUCUUGAGAAUGUGACCGAACUCGCCAUGGCGAGUAGAGGCUCUCGCCUCGCGAGCACUUGUGUUACAGAAUGCCUUGUUUAGGUUAAAUGUGAUCUUUGUCGCACGAGUUGAUGUGAGUUGAUCCUAGAGGUUAGAAACUAAGUUGUUUAUCUUGUUGUUAACAUUCCAGUAAGGCUGAUGCAUAUGAAUUCAAUGUUGCUUAUAAUGUUAUAUAAUUGUAUAUACAUUACAUGACUUAUGUUUGAUAUUUAAGUUGUUGAUUUGCAUUCGAUAUUAUUAUAUCAUGAUGGUUUGCAUACUGCCUAUGUUGCUAUUUGUUAUUUAACUAAGCUGCAUGAGUCGGUCUAAGUUGUUGAAGAUGAUGAUGUUUCAAAUUAUUGGAUUAAUAUAAGAGGUUGUCGAAUUAAGUCGUUUUAAGAGGUCGAGUCCAUGCAUUAGCAUUCAUUGUUGGGGGCUUGAUGCCCUGGAGCUUUGUACUCACCACGUUGGAGCAUUAGCUCAAAUUAGCGAUGGGGGCUUGAUGCCCUGAAAGUAUAUUAAUACUCAAAUAGCGAUGGGGGCUUGAUGCCCUGUAUUGGUACCACAUGCAUAUAAGAGGUCUAAGUUGCAUAGUUGCAUUUGUCGAGUCAAAGAUGAUAAGUUGUGGAAUUAUGAUUAAUUAUAUGAACUAUGAAUGAAGUAAAUUAUGAUAUGUUAUUAUCCAUGAUGAAUAUUAAGAUGUUUAUAUGUUGUUAAAUAUAAUUGUUGAAUUAUAUGCUUAAUAGUAUUGUUUUGUGAAAUCUCACCCCUUCUGCUUGGAAAUGUUGCUCUUCGUAUGAGUAACUUGCAGGUGAUCAAGUUUAAGUAGCUGGAGUUGCUGUCGUGAGUGGUUAUCCCUCACUGUGUCCUUAGGGUGCUCUGAUACGUAACGAGAUGGGAUCUUUUGUGGCUAUUUCUUGUUCCUUUACGUAUUUAAUUUAUGAAUAAGUUGUUUAACUGAUUUUAUGAGAUAUUUUGAUGAGGUCUGCGUGCCAAGACUUUUUAUGAUGUUGAAUUAAAUCCGCUGCUAUUUUGUUGAUGAAGGAUAAAUUAUUAUUUAUCUACUUAAAAUUUUUAAGUAAUGUGAUAUCACAUUUAUGUGAUGUUUUACUUGUUGGAAUAAGCCCUAAUAGCCAAUCUAUAUUGAUUGGGUUUGGUUUUGUAUCAUGAUAUUGAUAUAAAUAUAUAUUGUGAAUAUAUAAUAACAGGCAUUUCUUUAUUGAUUUUGUUUUGUUUCAAAAUAAUAAAGUCCCUAGAAUAGUUAGUCCGUUUAAUGGAACAUUAAGUAUAACUUAAUUGUGAGACCCCAUUAAACAUAAGGAAACUAUUCUCAAAGUAUCCGUAGUCAAGCUUUGUUGAGAAGUGAGAUAUCAUUAAAGCAUAGAGACUAUUAUGUAGGUAGACUGAUGAUCACAACUCACAGAUCAUGGAUAAAGAGUUAUCAAGUCUUCACAUAGAUAUAAAUAUUAGGAGUAAUAUUUAUAUUGGAUUGAUCCGCCAUGAGAAUAUUACAUAGUAAAAGUUAUGAAAAGUGUCAUAAUAUAUUCUCAUAGUGAUAGUGGUGUAUUCCACCCUUCGACCUGAAACCAUUAUGUAACCUAGAUGUUGGAGUCGAGUGCUUUGUCACCAUUCAAACGUUGUCCGUAACAGGAUGACUAUAAAGUUGGUUGAUGGGUACUCCAUGAAUCAUGCUGAGGGACAUGAGUGACCUAGAUGGAAUUUGCCCCUCCUACAUAACAGGAGAAAUGUCUACGGGCCCAAUAUUGAACUAGACAAGGAUGACACGGUCUAUGCCUUGUGUUCAAUAUAGACAUGAGGGCAAAAGGGUAAUUAUACACAUGAUCAUUAUCACAGAAAGAUUUCGUCAGAUCACAUGACAUUCUCGUCACUUGGGUAGCAGUGAUGUGUUGCUAGAUACCGCUCACUGUUUAUAAUAUUAAAUAUGUGAUGUAAUAUUAUUGCCAACGUUACGGGAACCUAUAGGGUCACACACAAAGGACAGAUAGAUGAGAGAAAUAAAUAAGUAAGACUUAUUUAUAAAAUAAAUAAGUAAGACUUAUUUAUAAAAUAAUAAGUGAGACUUAUUAUUAAUUAAAUAAAUAAAUAUGACUUUAUUAUUUAAUUUACGAAAAAUAGAGAAACGCGGUCCACCGUAAGGUACGGUGUAUUUAAGUGUUGUCUUGUUGUUCACACAAGUGAUUCUAUAAAUAGAACCCUUGUGUUGAAGCAUUAUCACAAAAGUUGUGAAACCCUAGCCGCCGCUCUCUAAACUUUGUUCUCUCUGAAUCUUCGUUGGAAUUGGCUAGCACCGGUCAUCGGAGAAGUUUUGUUCGUGUGGACUGAGUAGAGGCAUCGCUGCUUUGCUUUGCUCGUGAUCAGAAAUAUUUCUUCUACAAAGGUUCUGCUCUUCAAGAGGUAAACACAUGAAUCUUAAAGUGUUUAAGUUUCUGUUUGAUUUGUGAUUAAUGAUUUAAUCAAGAUCCGUUUCAAUGGGAUUUCUUCCGUAAAGAGGAUUAAAAUUUUGAAAAACUCCUCUUAAAAUCCCUUCAGUGGUAUAGCUUUUGGUUAUGAUUAAAUCAUUAGUUCAAAUUACUUUGCCAUAUUGGAUUGCACGAUUUAAGAGUUUCUGAAUAUGAUUCAAAUAUUGUGUUAUCCUUUCGUGUUAAUGUUUUGAACUUGAUUAAUUAAUCCGUGCACGAUUCCAAGUAACCGUAAUUGUGAUUUAUUCAAAAAUAUGUUACUAGCGUGUGAAUUUGAUUCAAAAUCUAGUAGCUGUCAAAGUGUUGACAUCACGGGUAGCCAUAUGCAUAUGUUUGAAUGGCUUGAAUUUGAUUCAAAUCAAAAUAAUAAUAUUUGUAGCAAAUCAAAAGGUCAUGUUUGUGGGACAAAUAAGAAACCGUGAUUUUACUUAUCAAAUAUUUAAGUGGAUAUGGUUUUAUUCUUUCAAAUAAGAGAAAUCCAUUUAACUAGCAUAUUGAUGGAAUGCAAAUCCGGUAAUAACGAUAAGAAUAUUAAGUGUUGAUAUUUUAUUAUUUAAAUAAUAAGAAUUGAUUAAAAUUGAUUGAUCAAUAUCAUAUAUGUGAUAUAUGAUUCUAAUACAUCAUUAUAUGUGAUAUAUUGAUGAUGUCAUUCGUUCAAUAAGUUUUAUGAAAUUGAUUGUGAAUUUGUAGACAAUUCGUGAGAUUGAGGUGAGGCCUAUGUUACCCUCUCUUGUUUAGAGGGUAAUUUACCCUCUCAUGAUAUCAACCAAUCAAAAUGUAAUAUACAUAGGUAGCAUUAAAUGUCAAAUAAAUGAGUAUAUUAUUUCUAAAAAUAAAAGAGUUAAUCUUAAUUAUUUUUUUGAAGGAGAGAUGAUCUUAAACAUAAGGUAACUUUUAAUACUUUUAAUUUUUAUUUAAUUUUUAUUUUUUGAAACAACAAAUGAUUUAAUUUUUUUUUUUUUAUAUUAAGGUGUUCAAUCUUAAUUAAUUUACACUACAAGAUUUAUAACAAAUAAAAUUUUACAUCAAAUUUCUUUCAUCUAGAUAUCCUUAAAUUCAUCAUUUUACAUUCAUAAAAUUUCUUCCAUUCCAGAACCCCGAACGUGAGAACAAAAACAUCUCAUUCUUUCAAAUUUCUUCUUCUUUAUUCUUCCAUAUUGAUCAAUUUUUGUUUCUUUUUCAUUCUUCUUCCCAUUUUGAUUGUUCAAUUUUGUCGUUCCAAAUUGCCGCAAUUUUCAAUUAUCGUGAGAAUUCUCGUUCAUUCUAGAAUCGCGUCAGAUAUCGUGACUUAUUUUUUUUAUUUAAGCAGUCAACCUAAUAAAAUAUGUUAACACGCAUAGACCUGUCUCACUAUCAGCAAAAGCCUUUAAGUCCAAAUAAAAGAACAAAAACCUCAUUACAUAACCAUUUCAGCAGCAACCAAAAAAAUGCUAGCAAACUCCCACAACAUCACAGAGGCAACACCUGCUAGCAGCCCUCAAAGUACAACGGAUGAUUUACUCAAUUGUUAUACUUUGAUUUUUUGUCUUAUUUAUUUGUAACACUAUGGUUUUUUGUCUUUAUUUUUUCCCGUUUAGGUCCUUUAUAUCUCUUAAAAGCACAUAUACAUCUUUUUUUGCAUUUUUUAUUUAUUAAAAAAUACAUAAUUUUAUUUUUAAAAAUAUAUUUUUAUUAAAACUGAAAAAAAAUCCAAAAAUAUAUGAUGGAGAUGUUCAUCAUCUUCAUCUUCUUUCUUUAAUAAUAAUAAUAAUAAUAAUAAUAAUAAUAAUAAUAAUAAUUAUGGCCGUGAUGGGCUCAAUCUGAAGGAAAUUAUGCGGAAGCUUUACAGAAUUAUUAUGAGGCUAUGCGACUGGAAAUUGAUCCCUAUGAUCGAAGUUAUAUACUUUAUAACAUAGGCCUUAUACACACAAGUAACGGAGAACAUACGAAAGCUUUGGAAUACUAUUUUAGGGCACUCGAACGAAACCCUUUCUUACCUCAAGCUUUUAACAAUAUGGCCUUGAUCUGUCAUUACGUGCGACUAUCUCCACUAUAGAAAAAAAGAAAAGAACGAACAACUCCACUAAUACUAAUAAAAAAAUAAAUACUAGACAAAAAAAAUGGGCUUUCUACAUAUAUAUAUCGUUCGAAACAACGAUUUUUAUGAGCUGGUAGCAAAGAAAGAAACUUCAUAGAAGUCAAAAUAUGAAGAAAUAGAAUAUAUACGCCUAGAUACUUUUUUUCUAUGGAUAAAAGAUCUAAUUGAUAGAGGAAGCACCGUAAAGAUCAAUUAACAAGGUUUUUGGCCGAUACAACAAGAACUGCUUACUUAUAUGAUGAUAGAUUAGGAAUCUACUUAUGUAAUAAAGUGGAUCCCCUAAGGUUGUGAGCAGCGGUGUAGUAUCAGAUCCCAAAGAUAGUAAGUCUUUUCUUAUGAAGAAAAGUCUUUCUCAAAGAUUCUAUAGAAAUUGAUAUAUCAUAUAUGAAAGUAUAUGAUAUAUGAAAUCGAGAUAGUUACCUUUCAGAAAAUUUCAAUAAGAACGAGCAUUAGUGUUAAUGUCGAUACUUUAUUCUUCGGAAGGUAGGAAAAAAGAUAAAACUAAAAACAAAGGAUUAAAUUCGUAAUCCAAAUUCAAGUUUGAAACUCAUGUAAUUAACCUCUUUUCUUGUUCUUAACUCCAGAAAAAAUGGAAGAUAAAAAGAAUUGACUGUUGAGCCGUAUGAGUCAGGAAACUCUCAAGUACGGUUCUAAGGGAAGGAAUUUACUCACCAAUUCCGACCGCGGAGAACAGGCCAUUCGACAGGGAGAUUCUGAAAUUGCGGAAUCUUGGUUUGAUCAAGCCGCUGAAUAUUGGAAACAAGCUAUAGCCCUUACCCCUGGGAAUUAUAUUGAAGCACAGAAUUGGUUGAAGAUCACAGGGCGUUUUGAAUAAGAACACUCUGUUUAUUAUUUUCUUUUUUUUAUUCUAAUAUUCUAUAUUUUCUAUAAUUUUUCUAUAAUUCUCUUUAUAUUCUAUUCUCUAUAGAGAAUAGAAUAUAAAGAGAAUACGGAUCAUUCAUUUUCUAAAUAUAAAGCAACAAACAAUCAAAAGAUUUUCUUAUAUCCCUUCUAAAAUAGUUCUAUUUCAUCUGAUAUUUCGUUAUGUUCCUUAGUAAUGCUAAUAUAACUGCUCACGUGAUUUGAAAUAAAGUACCUAAGAAUAUCUUCUCUGUAAGAUAUGCAAGAAAGACAAAAAAUUUCAUUUGUUCCAUCUAGGAAUCUCUAAGUGAAAUAUGAAUAGACUAGGUUGCACAAAAAAUUCUUUAACUUCAUUAAAUUCAAAGUUCAGAAAAGGUUUUAGAAUUAAAAAAAAGGGUCCGUUGAGCGCCUUACUACUAUGUCAUAAUAGAUCCGAACACUUGCCCCGGAUUAACUUCCGGAUCAUAAUUGUUCUAGUGAAUAACUAAAGAAAAUAUAGAAUAAAUAGAUGGGAGAUAGAAGAGAAAGUUAUUCAAUAUAAACAUCUCUCAUAAGUUCACUAAUUAUGUUUUAUGUUGGCGGGUCUCUUUGUAUGUGUUGUCCGGAAAGAGGAGGACUCAAUGAUUAUUCGUUCGCCGGAACCAAAAGUCAAAAUUUUGGUAGAUCCAGAAGUCAAAAUUUUGGUAGAUAGGGAUCCCAUAAAAACUUCUUUCGAGCAAUGGGCAAAGCCUGGUCAUUUCUCAAGAACAAUAGCUAAGGGACCUGAUACUACUACUUGGAUCUGGAACCUACAUGCUGAUGCUCAUGAUUUCGAUAGCCAUACUAGUGAUUUAGAGGAGAUUUCCCGAAAAGUAUUUAGUGCUCAUUUCGGCCAACUCUCCAUUAUCUUUCUUUGGCUGAGUGGCAUGUAUUUCCAUGGUGCUCGUUUUUCCAAUUAUGAAGCAUGGCUAAAUGAUCCUACUCACAUUCGACCUAGUGCCCAGGUGGUUUGGCCAAUAGUAGGCCAAGAAAUAUUGAAUGGUGAUGUAGGCGGAGGUUUCCGCGGAAUACAAAUAACUUCUGGUUUUUUUCAGAUUUGGCGAGCAUCUGGAAUAACUAAUGAAUUACAACUCUAUUGUACUGCAAUUGGUGCAUUGGUCUUUGCAGCCUUAAUGCUUUUUGCUGGUUGGUUUCAUUAUCACAAAGCUGCUCCAAAAUUGGCUUGGUUCCAAGAUGUAGAAUCCAUGUUGAAUCACCAUUUGGCAGGGCUACUAGGACUUGGGUCUCUUUCUUGGGCGGGGCAUCAAGUACAUGUAUCUUUACCAAUUAACCAAUUUCGAAAUGCUGGAGUAGAUCCCAAAGAGAUCCCACUUCCUCAUGAAUUUAUCUUGAAUCGGGAUCUUUUGGCUCAACUUUAUCCAAGUUUUGCCGAAGGAGCAACCCCAUUUUUUACCUUGAAUUGGUCAAAAUACGCGGACUUUCUAACUUUUCGUGGAGGAUUAGAUCCACUAACUGGGGGUCUAUGGCUGACCGAUAUUGCACAUCAUCAUUUAGCUAUUGCAAUUCUUUUUCUCAUUGCCGGUCAUAUGUAUAGAACUAAUUGGGCUAUUGGUCAUGGUAUAAGAGAUAUUUUAGAGGCCCAUAAAGGUCCAUUUACAGGCCAAGGUCAUAAAGGUCUAUAUGAGAUCCUAACAACGUCAUGGCAUGCUCAAUUAUCUAUUAACCUAGCUAUGUUAAGCUCUUUGACCAUUAUUGUAGCUCACCAUAUGUAUGCUAUGCCUCCUUAUCCAUACCUAGCUACUGACUAUGGGACACAACUGUCAUUGUUCACACAUCACAUGUGGAUUGGGGGAUUUCUCAUAGUUGGUGCUGCUGCACAUGCAGCCAUUUUUAUGGUAAGAGACUAUGAUCCAACUACUCGAUACAACGAUCUAUUAGAUCGUAUUCUUAGACAUCGCGAUGCAAUCAUAUCACAUCUCAACUGGGUGUGUAUAUUUUUAGGCUUUCACAGUUUUGGUUUGUAUAUUCAUAAUGAUACCAUGAGUGCUUUAGGGCGCCCUCAAGAUAUGUUUUCUGAUACCGCUAUACAAUUACAACCAGUCUUUGCUCAAUGGAUACAAAAUACCCACGCUUUAGCACCUGGUACAACGGCCCCUGGUGCAACAGCAAGCACCAGUUUGACUUGGGGCGGUGGUGAUUUAGUGGCAGUGGGCGGCAAAGUAGCUUUGUUACCUAUUCCAUUAGGAACUGCAGAUUUUUUGGUACAUCAUAUUCAUGCAUUUACAAUUCACGUGACGGUAUUGAUACUCCUAAAAGGAGUUCUAUUUGCUCGUAGCUCACGAUUGAUACCGGAUAAAGCAAAUCUUGGUUUUCGGUUCCCUUGUGAUGGACCUGGAAGAGGGGGGACAUGCCAAGUAUCCGCUUGGGAUCACGUCUUCUUAGGAUUAUUUUGGAUGUACAAUUCAAUUUCUGUAGUAAUAUUCCAUUUCAGUUGGAAAAUGCAGUCCGAUGUUUGGGGUAGUAUAAACGAUCAAGGAGUAGUAACUCAUAUCACAGGAGGAAACUUUGCGCAGAGUUCGAUUACCAUUAAUGGGUGGCUCCGCGAUUUCUUAUGGGCGCAGGCAUCCCAGGUAAUUCAGUCUUAUGGUUCCUCAUUAUCUGCAUAUGGUCUUUUUUUCUUAGGUGCCCAUUUUGUAUGGGCUUUUAGUUUAAUGUUUCUAUUCAGCGGGCGUGGUUAUUGGCAAGAACUUAUUGAAUCCAUCGUUUGGGCUCAUAAUAAAUUAAAAGUUGCUCCUGCUACUCAGCCUAGAGCCUUGAGCAUUGUACAGGGACGUGCUGUAGGAGUAACCCAUUACCUUCUGGGUGGAAUUGCCACAACGUGGGCAUUCUUCUUAGCAAGAAUUAUUGCAGUAGGAUAAUGGCUAGGAGGAUUUGAAAAGCAUUAUGGCAUUAAGAUUUCCAAGGUUUAGCCAAGGCUUAGCUCAGGACCCCACUACUCGUCGUAUUUGGUUUGGUAUUGCUACCGCACAUGACUUCGAAAGUCAUGAUGAUAUUACUGAGGAACGUCUUUAUCAGAAUAUUUUUGCUUCUCAUUUCGGACAAUUAGCAAUAAUUUUUCUGUGGACUUCCGGGAAUCUCUUUCAUGUAGCUUGGCAAGGAAAUUUUGAGGCAUGGGUACAGGAUCCUUUACAUGUAAGACCUAUUGCUCAUGCAAUUUGGGAUCCCCAUUUUGGUCAACCGGCUGUAGAAGCUUUUACUCGAGGGGGUGCUCUUGGCCCAGUGAAUAUCGCCUAUUCCGGUGUUUAUCAGUGGUGGUAUACAAUCGGUUUACGUACUAAUGAAGAUCUUUAUACUGGAGCUCUUUUUCUAUUAUUUCUUUCUGUCAUAUCCUUACUAGCGGGCUGGUUACACCUACAACCGAAAUGGAAACCGAGCGUUUCGUGGUUUAAAAAUGCCGAAUCCCGCCUCAAUCAUCAUUUGUCAGGACUAUUUGGAGUCAGUUCCUUAGCUUGGGCAGGGCAUUUAGUUCAUGUUGCUAUUCCAGGAUCCAGAGGAGAAUAUGUUCGAUGGAAUAAUUUCUUAAGUGUAUUACCACAUCCUCAAGGAUUAGGUCCACUUUUUACAGGUCAGUGGAAUCUUUAUGCUCAAAACCCCGAUUCUAGUAGUCAUUUAUUUAGUACUUCGCAAGGCGCGGGAACUGCCAUUCUAACACUUCUCGGGGGAUUCCAUCCUCAAACGCAAAGUUUAUGGCUGACCGAUAUGGCACAUCAUCAUUUAGCUAUUGCAAUUCUUUUUCUCAUUGCUGGUCAUAUGUAUAGAACUAACUUCGGUAUUGGGCACAGUAUAAAAGAUAUUUUAGAAGCACAUAUUCCUCCGGGGGGUAGAUUGGGCCGUGGACAUAAGGGUCUUUAUGACACAAUCAAUAAUUCAAUUCAUUUUCAAUUAGGCCUUGCUCUAGCCUCAUUAGGGGUCAUUACUUCUUUGGUAGCUCAACACAUGUACUCUUUGCCUGCUUAUGCGUUUAUAGCACAAGACUUUACUACUCAAGCUGCGUUAUAUACUCAUCAUCAAUACAUUGCAGGAUUUAUUAUGACAGGGGCUUUUGCUCAUGGAGCGAUAUUUUUUAUUCGGGAUUACAAUCCCGAACAGAAUGAGGAUAAUGUAUUGGCAAGAAUGUUAGAGCACAAAGAAGCUAUCAUAUCCCAUUUAAGUUGGGCCAGCCUAUUUCUGGGGUUCCAUACUUUGGGACUUUAUGUCCAUAAUGAUGUCAUGCUUGCUUUUGGGACUCCGGAGAAACAAAUCUUGAUCGAACCUAUAUUUGCCCAAUGGAUACAAUCUGCUCAUGGUAAAACUUCAUAUGGGUUCGAUGUACUUUUAUCUUCAACGAAUAGUCCGGCGCUCAGUGCGGGGCGAAGCAUAUGGUUGCCUGGUUGGUUAAAUGCUAUUAAUGAGAAUAGUAAUUCUCUAUUCUUAACAAUAGGCC
rnacentral:lncRNA from 1 species